CAUUAUUUUGUUUGAACAAUGAGCUAUUCUAAAAUGCAUUUUAUUGUGUACAUUUUCACUAUAAGUAAUAGUGGUAUCUAAUAUGCUAUUGAAGUGUACUAAGUGAGAGUUUAACCCAUACAAAUUGUCUAACCUUGACGUUGUAGUUUGGUUUUACACAAUAAUUUUUGAAAAAUGAUUUUUUUUUUAAAAUAUUUCUAUUAUUUGACAGAUUUCUUAAAAACAUUUCACAAAAAUUACUUUUAAUGAAAUAAAUAUAUAUUUAAGAUUUUCUUAUCUUUUCAUUGUUUAAUUGAGUUUAUUUUAUGCUUAUAAAUUUAUAUUUUACAUUGUUUUAUUUUGUUAAAUUCAGGUUAUUACAACAUCAUUUUUUUAUUACAUGACUAUCAAGUAAAUAUUUUUUUAUUUAAAACUGUGACAUCAACAAAAUUGAUAAAAAAAUUUAAUAAUGUCAACAAAUUAAACUAGAUUUUCAAAUCUGAAAAGUAGAAGGACUAAAUUCUUAAAAAUAAAAGUACAAAGACUAAAUUAAAAAUUUGUGAAGAAUACAUAGAUUUAUCACAUAUUUUAAAUUUUAUACUACAAAACGAUUAUUAUUAAUAUACUAUAAUUGUAAUAACUAUUUAUUAUUAAAAUAUUAAUAUUAAAUAUUUUCAUAAUACAUUAAGAAUAUUAUUUUUAAAAUUUAUUAUUAAAAUGAGAUUGAAAUAUUAAAUAACUUAUUAAAUGAUAAAUUAUAUUAAUAAUUUAUUAUAUGAUUAAAUAUAAAUAAUUAAAUAUAUAUUUAAUUAUAUCAAAAAAUAUAAUAUCUUAUAUUAGUAUUUUAAAAUUUUAAAUAAAUAAAAUUUAUUUUCAGUGUAAUAAUAUUAAUGUUGAUUUAAGUUAAAUUUUAUAUAAAAAAUUACUUAUAGAAGAAUUCUUUUUUAAAAAAUGACUUACGCUUUCUAAAAGAGUAAAUCAUUCUAAAAAAGAAACUUAUUUUACGUUAACUUAUAAGUUAGUUGACUAAAUUGUUUUAUGUAAAAUAAACACGAGAAAAUGUAAAAUUUUUCAUAAAUUUUUUUACACGUAAAUAAACGGAUCCUAAUAAUUAAAUUAAAAAAUUCAUAUAUGAAAUUCAAUUUUUAGUUUAAUUCCAUAUAUAAGAUUCUGAUUGAAUUGUACGAAUUAUCUUGCGUCUUCUCUCUUGAAUUUAUUCAUUUUUUUGUUUAUUGUGAUAUUUAAAAUUUGUUUGUUGAAUACAUUUUUCUUAUUUCACUUAUAAUAAAUAGAAUAAUCAUUGAGUUAAUCUUAUAUACUCAAAUUUCUUGAAAUUUAUAAUUAUAAUGUCGAAUCAUAAUUAAUAAUAAAUUUCGAAUCAUAAUUAAUACAAAUACAAUAGAUUGCAAAUAAAAAUAUAUUUAAAUCUAAAGUAGAAUAAAUCUUAACAAUACUUACACAUAGUGAAUUGAAACUCAAAAUAAUUUUAAAAAAAAUUAACAUAUAAUUAUUACACGUAAUAAAACUCGAAUCUAGACUACCAAUCAAACCAUCUAAAUUUUAUAGGAUAAUUUUUAGUCCCAAGUUAUCUAAUUUACUAUUUUCUCUUACAAACAAUUUAAAUUUAUUAUUUACUCAAUAUUUGACCUUAAUAAUGGGGGAUUCUUUACUCAAGUUUAAGCCUUUGAUUCCUUUCAACAUUUUCAAUCACUUUUAGUAGUGAGCACUUAUAUAAAAUUUAAAUUACUAAUAAAUCCUUUAAAAUUGUAAAUGAUUUUUCGUGUAAAAAAUUGUAAAUAUCUUCUUCCUAAGCCAACCAAUAACAGUGAGUAGUAUCUAGAUGACUAUUAAUAUAAAAUUACUCAUAAACCUCUUAAAAUUUUAAAUUUUAAAUUUUAAUUAUUUGAAGCAUUAAAAGCCGUUGUACUUUGACCCUACCUUCCAUGGGCCUUGGCCCAUGGGACCAGUGGUAUUAACGUUGCUUUCUGCCGUUCAUAGCGGUGGCCUGGCCCCUUCCCUCCCCAUAGCAAUACAAAAGAUGAACAAAAUAAAGACACAAGACAACGAGGAUAGUGUUACUAAAAAUAGUUCUAAGGUUUUUUCAUUUUUGACUCCCUUUUGACAACAAUCACCAACGGCAGCAACUUGUUUAAAAGACUACACAAAGCUUUGAUCAAAACAAAUUCCCACCCUAUUCUUUAUAAAUCAUCUAAAAUGAUAAAUCAAACUCAAUUAAAUCUGUAUAAAGUUAAGAAAAUCUAAUCUCAUAGGUAUUGUGUGACCUGACAAAAGUAUUGGCACCGAGUUAAUUCAAGUUCGGAGAUGCGUAUCCAUACGGGUUCUUGCUGGCCCAGUUCCAUUGAUCCCUGCACAUCUCCUCGAUGCCGUAUUUUGCCCUGAAAUCGCAACAGAUAAAACCAAGGAUUACCUUUAGCACAAUGUAUGAAGAUCAGCUUAAAGCUUUUGCAUGAAUGGGGAUGCUCUUACUUCCAAUUCAAUUCAUGCUCAGCCUUCUUCGUUGAAGCAUAAACAGUUUCAACAUCACCGGGUCGACGUCCCGCCAUCACCAAAGGAAUUUUCUGAUGCAAAUGAUGAAUUUGGCCUGUUAGCUGAAUACCACCACUGAAAAAAUAAGCAUAGCUCGAAAACGAAACAUGGAAACAAUACCUUUCCGGAUGCCUUCUCGAAUGCAGCAACCAUCUCCAAAACCGAUGUUCCCUUUCCGGUACCUAAAUUGUAGACCUCACAUCCUGUAAUAGCAUAGCUAAUUACAAUCAAUUACCGAAGAUAUGACUCAUCUCUGCUACUACAAAACCAAAUACUCUGAAGCAUUUAAUCAAGUCAAGACACACAGCCUUUCAUAGAAGACAAUUGAAUACAAAGUGAAACGAAAAGGAAGAACAAUCCGCCGAGUUUAACGGAACAAAGAAUGCAAAUUUACCUAUUUUCGGAUCAGAUAGUUUACGUAAUGCAGCAAUGUGGCCGUCUGCUAAAUCAACGAUGUGAAUGUAGUCACGUACCUGAAAGUAGACAGAGAAAUGGAGACCUUGAAGUGAAAUUUACAAAUAAAUAGACGUUUAAGUUUCAAAACCAAAUCCAUAGAUGCCUGAGUUUCCGGUGCAAAGGAGGGGAUAAGAAUAAAAGGAAUGACUUACUGGAACCGUAAAAAACUUACCCCUGUACCGUCCUUUGUCGAGUAAUUAUUUCCAAACACUGUCAAUGCCGGUUGCCUCCCAAUAGCAACUUGUUGCACGAAAGGCAUGAGAUUGUUCGGAGUGCCCCGGGGAUCCUCACCUAUGUAGCCACUAGGAUGUGCACCAACCGGAUUAAAAUAUCUUAGAAGUAUGAUCUUCCAUUCAGAAUCAGAACGACGGAGAUCUUGACAGAUCUCUUCUAUGAAAAGCUGAAAGACCAACAUCCGAUUUGAUUAGCUGACGCUAUAGGAGAAGAUGUUAAUUGACAAAUUCCUAGGUACUCAUAAGAAUUGCAUACUCUCGCAUACCAUACCUUGGUUCGUCCAUAUGGAUUGGCUGCGGCCAAAGGGGACUCCUCGGUACAUGGAACCUCCUUCGGCCAGCCAUAAACGGUAGCCGACGACGAAAACACGAGCUGCAAUGCACCAAGUUAGAAGACUGAUCGAGUUCUAAAGCUCCAAAUCACCGUCUGAUUAAUAACAAUAUUGAAUUAUCAAACAUAAGAAAGGGAGUGAGACAUACAUUUUUACAUCCGUGUGCAGCCAUUGUUUCCAACAGUGUGAUCGUCCCGAUAAGAUUGUUGUCGUAAUAGAGCAACGGUUUGUGUACACUUUCACCGACUGCUUUUAGUCCGGCGAAGUGAAUCACAGCAUCAAACCUAUGACAUAAUUAUGUAACAGCGUUAGCUGUCUAGAAAGAGAAAACAGAAAAAAAAAUGAUAACCGAAUAUCGAUCCAAAUCGUACUUUGUCUCGGCGAAAACUUCUUCGAGUGCCGGUCUAUCCCGAAGAUCCACCUGCAGUUGAAAACAGAUGUUCCAGCAUUAGGAACAUCACAGAUUUAUGUUCAUAAUAACUCAAGAGCACAUAUUUAAACAACAUUGUUACAAUAAUCCCAGAGCACAGAUGAAAUUUGAUUAUUGGCAAAAUCAGACAAAUUCCGAUCAACAUUUGAUUUUCAAGAUGCAAAUCUCCAAUGAUAAACACCGCACUUCAUUUAAUACUUGUAUUUUAUGUUCGAGACAUAUUCAUUUAUCAAUAUGAAUAUAAAAAUAUAAUCUUCCACACAUUUUUUAACAAAUAGUUUUGAAAAAUAAAAUUAAAUAUAUACAACCACGUCUAAUAUUUAGACUCAAGCCAGAAUAACAAAUAAAUAAAAGUUAGAGAUUAAUUGAAAAAUUAAAUUAAUUAUAAAUAAUAUGUCAUACAUCAAAUUAGUCUCCCCAUUGAUUGAUUUAGUAAUGAUACAAUCAAUUUUGAACAAAAAUGUAAAAUUGCAAAGGGUGUAAGGUUAAAUGUUUAAAAAAAAUACUAUAAUAAAAAAGUAAAAAAAUGUUUAAAAAAAAAUUUAAAGUUAAGGCGCAAUUUUUAGCCCAAACUGUAAAAAAAUAUUCAUAAGGUAAUUUAAAGAAAAUAAUAAUAUAUUAAAGGGAAAAAAAAUUAAACAGGCUUUCUCAGCCAGAAUUAAGGAAUCUUCACCUAGCAAGACAGUAGGAACUCUGUGUAAUCAUUACCUCACCAAAAUUGUUCACUUCGAACAAUAAAAAGCUCUACUUUUUCCACGUGCAUUUCAAUUUUCAAGCAAUCUCUGAUAAAAGUAAUAUAAAUUUUUUUGUCUAAAAAAGUUAAAUAAAUUAACACCACAGUUCAAUGCAAAGAAAACAAGAAAUAUUUAUAAAACAGUUAAAUUAUUUAUCAGUAAAAUUUAAAACUAUAGAAAAUCUCGUGAAAGAAAAAAGAAACUAUUCGCAAAUAUUUCAAAAAAUAAAAAUAAAAAUCUACAAAAGUUCCAAGAACAUAUCACCGAAUUUCACAACACAUGUUGCCAGCUAUAGCAAUUCAAUCAUCAACUAAGCAUUAAAUUUAACAAUUUAAAAUCAAUUAGGGUCCAAAAUAGCAGUAAAAACAAAAGAAAAAUAAAUAAAUAAAUAAAUACAUACAUACAUACAUACAUACAUAAACAGUCUCUCAUCAGAGUAAACAGAAUAUUUUCAAUUUUUUAAUUAAAACGAAAGAAAAAACUAGAAAACGGUGAGUUAACUGUUGAAGGAACCUUGUGAAAAGAAAGGUUUUUGGCGAGUUCGCCGGCGAGCUCUUUGACUCUUUCGAUAGCAACGUCGGAGGAAUUGUCCAGAUUAUCAACGACCACCACUCUGUAACCGUCUAACAGCAACUGCAACACCGUGUGGCUCCCAAUAUAACCUGCUCCGCCGGUCACCAGAACGUUCUUCGACAUAUCGGUCCAAUCAAACCAAACAAGAGAGCAGAGCAGAGAAUAGCAAAGCAAAGCAAAGUAAAGCAGAAAGAAUAAGAAGUUAAGAUAAGAGAGUUUUAGCGUUGUAGAAAAGUGUUCUCUUUUGAAUCAAAUCAUAGCAAGGAAACGGUGGAAAUUAUAUUGAGACGAAGAAGAAUUUAGAAGAAUAAAUAAAUAAAUAAGGAGAAUUAAUAUUGAGGGAAAGAAAAUACAAAAAUAAAGAGAAAGAUUUUGUUGAAGUAUUGAAUGAUGAGAGAAAGGGAGUUGAGAGGAUCGGCCACGUGGAGAGAUUUUGUAUAGUUUCCAAGUUCGGGAAGUCCCCAGUGGCGGGUUUCGAUGUGUUUGGACCAAACUAACCCUUCUCGUACUUUGUUUUUGUCCUGUUAGGAAAGGGACAUUCUCGGUGUUUUUGUACUUUUGUUUAAUUAUUUAAAACUAAUUCUUUUACUAUAUUAAGAAAUUGUUUAAUAGUAUUAAAUAUAGAAUUAAUUUUUGUAUUAAUACUUUUUUUCACUUUGGAAAUUAAUUUUUUUUGUAUAAAUUAUUUUCGUGUGAUUUUUUAAAACAUGAUUUAAUUCAACACUUAAAUACAAUGGCUAUAUGAUUUUCUUUUUAAUUUUCGGUGAUUUUCUUUUUUUUUUCUUACUAUAAAUUAAAAUUUGUGUAAAGUUGCAGAAAGAAAGUGCAUUUUCAUUAUGGAAAUUAAAAAGGGUUGAAUGAAAAUCGGGAAACAAAAAUCAGUAGGAAGAGAAUCAAGAAAUAAAUAAAUUAAUAAAUAACCAAAGAAUUUAUAAAAUACUAUAAUUAAAAUGUCAUUUCGUAAUUAACAUGUGUGGACUUUUCCAUUGUCAUCCCCACUACUCACAAUCUGUGGGAGGAAAGCGCAAAAUCCAACAUCAUGCCUCGAACAGCAGCCACUAAUAAUAAGGCCCUUUUUUUAAAAAAAUUUAAUUCUUUUUACAAAAAUAAAUUCAUAUAUCAGAAUCAAUCAUAACAGUCCGAAAAUACUAUUAAUUAAUUAAAUUAUGUAAAUAAUUCGAUUAAAUAAAUUUAAAUCAAAUUUACAGUAAAACUUAAAUUCCAUAAUGAUUAUUUUACCUCCAAUUUUUAAAAAUGAUUAUUUUAAUAUUUUAUUUAUUUUUUUAUAUCUUUUAGUUUUUAAAUUUAUAUAUUUCUAUUAAAUUACCUUAAAAUGGAUGAAAAAGUUAACUUAAUAAUACAUGUAUUGCUACGUGAUUAAUAUGUCAACAUUUAAUUAAAUUUUAAAAAUUUUAAAAUUAUUUUUUUAUGUUUUUAAAAAUAAUUUUAAUAAUUUUUAAUUUUUAAAAUAAUUUUAUAAUUUCUUUGAACUUUUUAAAUUUUAAAAAAAUUAAUUAAAUGUUGACAUAUCAUCCACGUGAUAAUUCACAUGUAUGCAUCAUUAGUUAUAUUUAAAAAAAUUAACUUUUUCAGCCAUUUUAGAUGAUUGAACAAAAAAAAUGUAAGUCAAGAAUUAAAAGAGGUAAAAUAUUAAAUAAAAAAUUAAAUAAUUAUUUUAUAAAGUCGAAGGGCCAAAAAAAUUAUACCAAUUUAAAUUUAAUAUCUCAAAAAAAUCCUCCUUUUUACAGUUGGGAUUAAAUAUUAUAUUUAAUAAUAAAUCUAUACUAUUAUUUAAACAUUUGAUUGAACUGAUAUUACCUAUCAAUUAAGUUCUAACUCAAUUGUGAAAGGCAAAAAAUAAUAUAUUUUUUUAUAAAAAAAAAAGUGAUUUUAUUACAAUUAUAUUUAUAUGUUUUUACAUUUUUAUAUUAAAUCAAUAAAAACUCAUUUUUAUUUUAAACUUUCAAUUUUGCCACUUAGAUAAAAAAAUUAAAUUAAUUUUUAAUAAAAAUAUUUUAUAGUCGAAUAUUUACAUCAUAUGUGUGCUAUGAUCUAGUAUUAUGUUAAACAGAUAAGUAUUUUGACAAUAAUACUUCAUACCUACUCCAAGUGUUCAAUAAAAAAUAGAAUUGUUGGGAAAAGAAAAAGGGGGGGGGGGGGGGAUUUUAGAUGCCAUAUGAAAAAGAAAAGGGAAGAAUGAUUUGCUUUCUUUCAAUCACGUAAAUUUGAUGGAAAUUUUUAUAGCAGGGAAUAAAUUCUAUGGGGGUAAAGUCCAUAUUUUCGAAAUUAAGAUUCUUUAUGAUUUUAUAACUAGAACUGGAGUACGAAAUUCUAUGAAAUUCUUUAAUAGUUUAUAUUUUCAUAAUAAAUAAAAAAAAAAUUUAGAACUAAAGUGUAAUUUUAUUAUUAUUAACUUAAAAUUUUAUAAAUUAUAAAAAAAUUAAAUUAAAAUUUUACCGUUUUAGAGUAGUCAUGAUCCUUUUGGGUCUCCACUAUAUUCCGUCACUGUUUAUAACAUCUUUCAUUUUUUUAAGAACACUAGAUACUCAACAUAUAGAAAAAUCUGAAAAAUAAUUUAAAUACUAUGGUAAAUAUUUAUAUAAUACAUAAAAUAAAUAAAUAAAAUAACACAAAUUGUGAAAUUCAAGCAAGUCCUAGAUAGAAGGACCAUAAAAGGUGGCGUAUUUUUAUUCUGUGUCAUUGUUGAAUAAGGAAAAAGUUAGGCUUUAAAAUGAGUAAAAGUAAAUAGAAAAAACAUAAGAAAAUAAUUAAAAGCAUAAUGGAAUAUGAAAAUAUAUGUAAAUACAUAAAUGGUUAGAUCCGUACAUUAACCUUACCGUAACACAGAAAAAGAAAAUGAAGAAGCUUAGACUUGAAGGAGAAAUAAUGUAAUAAAAUAAGAUGGGUACAUGAAGAUGCAUGUUACCUUUAUAUAACAUUCUCACUUUUUACAUGCGUAAGCUAUUGCAUUUGCAUAUGAACCUCUUCUUUUUUUUUUCUUUUUUCUUUUUUCAUUCGAUGCACCAAAAGAGGAAGAAGAUAAGUGAGAAAGAAACUUAGAAUUUGAUGCAAGGACAAUUUUUCUCAAUCUUCUUCAUUAUUUGGAUUUUAUUAAGAUGUGAAGAUACGACAUUUUAAAAUUGUAAGUCAUCAUUUAUAAACUUGAAAAAUUAUAUAAAAUCUAAAAAUAUAAUUUUUAAUACAGUUUUCACGUUAUGACAUGACACAAAUAUCAUAAUGUAACAUUAUCACACCUUAACAAAAUUCAAAUUCUAUGAAUAGAACGUAAAUAAAUCUAAGGACUACAUUGAGAAAAUUUGUCAAGUUUCAAAAUUAAUGUAGUAAAAAAAAGUUAUGUAAAAUUUUUAGGGUAAACUACCUAAUUGGUUACCUAACUUUUAGGGCACUUUUAUUUUAGUCACCCAACUGUUAAAUUUCUAAUGGCAGUUAACUUGUACACGCCACAUCAUGUUUAUAAUUUUUUUUUCAAUAUUGAUUAGGUAAAAAAAAAUUAAGGAUUAAAGUGAAAAAAAAAAGGUAGAAACUAAAAUAAUGCUUUAAAAUUUGUCAAAUUAUACUUGUUUAACCCUUGCCAAAAGUUCUAAAUUUCUUUUUGUUUUUCAACAUUGAAAUUUUAAAUUUCAAAAUAUCAAAAAUAUUUAAAUAAGUUAUUGAAAAUUUUUAUCCCUUCAUCGUGUCAAGCAAUUUGUUUAUGUAAUAUUGAAAUUAAUUAAUUUAGUCUCCUUUUAAAUCUUAAAAUUUUAUUUUAUGUUUCCAAAUUAAAAUCAACUCAAAUAAAUCAUCUUUCAUAAUUGUACAUGAAACCCAAAUUUCUUUUGAUGAUAUGAUAUUGAGUCUUCCAUGCCAAACCAAUUCCAUAAUUUUUUCAUCACUUUAUUACCCAAACGAAAAACAAGCAAUUAAUUUAAUUAAUUGUGAUGGUUUUUCUUUGUUUUUAGCUUAGUAUGAAAGAGUAAAGAUUGUAUAAUUAAAAUAAAUUUAAAUUUCACAAACAAUUAUUAAAUAUGAGCUAUCGAGUUGAUAUUUCAUUAAGAAUAAUAUGGAAACAUAAAAUAAAAUUUUAAAAUUUAGGAGAUUAAUUUAAUUAAUUACAAUAUUACAGUAACAAAUCAAUUACAUUAUCAAGGAAUAAUUUUUUUAACUAUUUAUUUAAUUUAUUUUUAUGUACUAAAAUUUAAAUUUUCAAUAUUUAAAAAAAAGAAAUUUAGAAUUGGGCAAUGUGAUAAAUAAGUACAAUUUAACACUUUUUAAUGCAUUAUUUUAGUUUUUACCACUUUUUCAUUUUAAUUUUUAAUUUUUUUACCCCAAUCAAUACUUUAAAUAAGGAUUUUUUUAUGGCUAAAAUAAAAGCGACCUAAAAGUUGGGUGACCAAAAUAAAACUGUGAGCAUGAUGUGGCGUAUACAAGUUAAUUGAUGCUAGAGAUUUAAUGGCUUGAGUGACUAAAAUGAAAGCACCUAAAAGUUGAAUGAUGAAAUUGUAAGGAUUUUAUUUGGAGUGACAAAAAUAAAAACGCCCUAAAAAUUGAGUGACCAACUAGGUAAUUACCCAAAUUUAUAGAAAUAUAAUAUUUACAUAAAAAGAGAUAUCAUGAGUGUACCAUAAUUGAAAUAUAUCAUUGUUGUCCAAUGAAAUACAAUAUAUAGGAGAGUGCGCUGGAACCAAGUUAUGGAGCAUGUUGUUGGGAGAGCCUUUAGCUGUCACUAAGCAAAGUAGUGAAUGGUAUUGUUGGCACCAUCUCAAUUGUUUAUGACCCAACUUCCACUUCAUUAUGGUGUCAAUUCUUUUAUUAAUUUCUCAUCCUUUUGUUUUGUAUAUUCUUGCAACUUACUCCCCAAAACUAUGAAUUAUAUAUUUUAAAUAACCUCUUAGGUUUAAUUUUUUUUAGGGUUAAUUAGUACUUAAAUUUGAAAUUCAUUAUAUUUGUUAUUUUUUAAAACACAAUAAAAAUGUGAUGAUGUGACACUGUCAGCAUAUAAUAUUAUUUUAUAUGAUAACAAUAAAUUGUAGUACAUAGCAAAUAUUAAUAAAAAGCUUAUAAAUUAAAUAAAAAAAAUUACAAGAAUGAUAUAAAAGCUAUUUGAUGUUCAGGACUAAAUGAAUCCAAACCUUCAUCUGAAAAGUGUUUUUCUAAUAAAUUUAUUUUUUAUAAUUUCAAAAUAACUUGAAAAUUUUCUGUUGUAAAAAGAAAAAAGAAGAGGAAAUGAUGGGGAUUUUUUUUGUUUUCAAUUCCAAGUUGGGAAUGUUCAUAUAUCAUUUUUAUCCCAGUUUUUUGUUUAAUUCCUUGAGAUUUUAUCCCUCUGCCUAGGUUCAUGUGAAAACACUUAUCAUCGCUCAUAUGAGAAAAUUCAUAGGUGUCAAAACAAUAAAUUUUGAAGUUCUCAUGCUCCGAACUUUUGGCAGAUAUAUCGUACAAAAUCAUUAUAUAAAUUCGGCAUAUAUCGGUCUGGAAUAUUAAUUUGAAGUUGGAUGGUACUGUCAGGGUGAAGACAACAUAUGAAUUCCAACAAAACUUAGCACCUUGCAGCUAGCACCCAAGCUCUACAAAUUACAAAUAAAGGAUUCCCCCCAUGGAUUUCUCAUUUAAAUAAAACACCAUUAUGUAACAAAUCCAAUGGUAUAUUGCUAGCAAGUGAAAUAUAGCUACCAUACAACAUGCCUCCUAGUUUCAGUUGAACAUACUGAAUUCCCACAUUUCCCAACAUAUAUAAGAAAAACAGUCUUGACUGACAAGUUGAUAGCGCAAGUCAAAGAAAACAAGAUGCAGCAAUCCUUUGGUUUACAAUAUCCCCAUUGGCAUGCAGACAUGAAAAGAGAAAACCAAGGGCAACAAACAACCUAUCAUAUGACACUCGUAAUAUCUCAUACAUCAGUUGCCAAAACGGCCUCUUCCCCAGGGCAUUCUUUGUCGGCCACGGCCAUUAGGUUGUACACCAUUGUUCUGAUGUGACAAUACCCUCAAUCGCUCUUCUUUCAUAUUGGCAAAGAGGGAAUCCAAUGUUUUAGGCCUUUGUUUUGUUACUAUGUUCUCUUGUUGGUCUUGCUGUAGUUGUUGUUGUUGUAGCUGCUGCUGUGGCUACAAAAAAGGAAAUUUGCUCACUUAGCAUUAAUACAAGUGAUCCGAGAAAUUCAAAUAAAUGACGAUUUAGUCACACAAGACAAUUCCAAUCCAAUUGGGAAUCAUAAACUAUUAAUUUGCAAAGUUAAAAAGCCAAUAAAUCUAUAGAAUCUAGGUUCCAAUCCGUAAAAAAGCAUUAUUUACAAUUCACUACAUGCCUAUGACCAACCAUUUGAGCUUCUGGAUAAAAAUGAGUACCUUUGCAGUAAAACCGCCAUUUGCAGCCCUCCUUUGGACAGGUGGUCCUCCAACCCUACACCGAAAAGCAAAAACCAUGAAUGGAUAACAAAAACAUGACAAAACAAUGACAGAGGUAACUCCAGGGAGGAACUAAGCUUUCACCAAACAUGCCGUCAACCAUCAACAAAAAGUUGAGAAUUGGGAAUCUUACCAGCAUAGGAAGACUAUUUAUUUCCAGUAAACAGAAAGACAAAACAAACAAUCUGUACUACUCCCUUUAUUUUCCGCAAAACUUUUUCAAUUUCAAAACAUGAUCAUGCACCUAAACCCCACUCUGGACAUUCAUUGCAAUCAACGGAGAGUAAAGCUUCAAAAGAAGAGCAGAACUAGGGGGAAACCACAUCAGGGAAUUUACCAUGAUCCAGACAAGCAGCAACAACAAUUGGGGCAAACCCCUAAACCCCACCUUUUGAAGUCUACACCACUUGAGAAAAGGUAGCACAACAGAAGUCAAAUUUACAUCAAGACAACUAGAUAAAAUCAGCUUAAACUUUCAAUAUUUCCCAACCCAGUGUUCUUCCAGCUUCAUAUCUCUAGCUCAGAUAUCAAUAUGGCACCGUCAGCAACAAUCUAAUCCUCAGCAAAAAUAUUCGUUUUAAAUGGUGUAUCAUGGUGUCAACCAACCACUGUUACUAAAAGAACAUAAAACCCAACCAUGGAUUUAGCAGGCAGGAGAAACCAUAGAAAAGAUGAAAAGGAUGAACCAUCAACAGUGGACUGGAAAACGAGUUUAGAACAAGGGCUUUUACAUAAACCACAAGCUCUCCCAACUAGUUAAAACUAGUGUAAAUUGAAGGAUAUGUGACCUCCAAUGACAAACCAUCAAAGAAUCUCAAGCAGCCAAAAUUACUUGAAAAAGGAAAUCAAAAUUAAUGGUUGACCCUGCUCAUGGAAUUACAAAACCCAUUAGAAUGAGCACAAACUACCCCAUUAACACUUCUAGACAUGUCAACAGUUGUCAAAUCAUGUAAUAAGCCAACUACAAGAACUAUUUUUUGAAUGUACACAUUCAUCUCUUGCACAGCUCAUCAAAACUUGGUAUCAUGUAUUUUUCUAGAUCAAUCUUCUUCAAACAUUAUAACCACAUUCAACACUCGUUACUCAAUGCUUCAACAUCCCCACCCAAAAGGCAAAACCAAUUCCAAAAUAGGCACCAAUUAAUCUGAGGACCUUGCACGAUAUAGAUACAAAGCUUAUGCUACUCGCAUACUACUUUUGAGUAGUGCAAACAAAGAAUAGCCAAAUACUUCAAUUAAUCCCACAUUUGCCUUUUCCACAAGAAAUGUGAUCAAAUAUUAGGUGUUCCACAUAACAUGCAACUUGAAAUAAGUUAACCAGGAACACAUUCCAGAGGUCAUCAAUAUUGUAGAAGAUCCAUAAUUUACCUGCAAUGACUCAAUUAUAAGAAUCCACCAUUAGAAGGCAGUAAUUAUGUUUUAAUUGUAAACACGACUAUUAAAGCUAGAAGAAAACAUAGUUACUUUAUAAAGCAACUAUAUAAACUAUUUGACAUCCAUAUACCUUGGCUUGUUCAAAUUAGCCACCCUGCUAGUAUUAAAUGCUCUAUUGCGUAUUGGAGCAACUGCAGCCCUACGUGCAGCCUCAGCCGCAAAAGGAAACCGGUUCCCCUGGAAAUUAGACCUUCUUUGAGCUAGAACCCCCUGAUUAACAUGCAAAGAGCAGAAUCGGGGGGAAAAAAAAGGGGGAGUCCAAGUCAUAAUAUGGCUCAAGUAGACAUGAAAAUUUAUCAACAAGAGCAGUAAAUAAAUUGCACACCUGUCUAACAGAGGCCCGCGAGUCCAUGUACUGUCGUACCUUCAAGGCCUUAUCUUUAGCAGCAUUACUCACAGGUCUCUGGAUUUUAUUCUGAUAGUAAAGGGAAGAACAGGUUAGAAUAUCAACUUAAGCAUGGUCAACGAUAAAAAUGUGCUAUCUAGAUUAAAAAAAUUCUUACCGGUAUCCUUCGCUGUUUCUUAGAUUUAUGUGAAGUAUUUUUUGACAUUUUAAUGAUAUCAUCUAAGUCCAUAGAAAACGCAAACUGAUCAGAAACAUGUUCACCGCCUAAGAAAAUAACUUCGAAAAGGCAGAAACAGUUAAAAGCUCACCCAAUGUCAUGUCCAUUUUCUUUUCUGUGAGGGCGAUUGCUUCACUCGUAAGAGGUUUAGCCGCCAUCUGACAAAGUAAACAGAAUUAACCCACAACAAUUUAUGGAGAUAUUGAGAAAUAAAAGCAAAAGAAAGUACAUAUAUAUAUAUAUUUUUAAAACAGCUCAACCUCAAGAGACGAAACACACAAACAUGAUAAAUAAUCUCCACGAGAUAAAUUUAUACACGUACGUGGUAUUGAGUAAGUUAGAAUUAAGAAAACCCUAAAACUUUUGGGAUUUCUUCUAACGCAGUAAAAGAAUCUUCCAUCUAAAUCAGGAAAAAGAACUGGGAAAAGAAAAUUUCAACAAACAAACAGCACAGAAACCGAUUUGCAGAUGAUAUGCGAUGGAUUCAAUAAAGAAAUAAAAGGAUUUGAAGAGAGAAACUUACCGAUUAAGAAAAGAGAGAAUUAGCAACGACCUACGAAAAGAAAAGCGAAACGAACUCAAGACGUGGUUGAAACUGGAUAUAGGGUUAGGGUUUUUUGAAAUCACUUGUUGGAAUCGGGAAAUUGAAGGAGGGUAUUUCAAUGCUUUGGAUGCUUCGAGGUCACGCAAAAACGAAAAGGAGUAGACAGAUAAGAAGAAAAAGGGUGCUUAUAUAGGGCCGCAUAAGUUGGCGGAUUUCAAGUUCGAUCAUUGAUCGUUUAAUAUAAUUAGAUUUCAAGUCCGUCUUUAAUUAGGGACCACGAUUAUUACGUCGUUAUAGUUUUGACGGUAAUUAAAAGUUAAAACCCCCAAGUACAGCUCAGCAUUCCGAAUUCAAGAUGGUUUUUAGCUAUUUGACGGAUACGAAUCCGCCACGUAAGAGAUCACUGCGUUGGUUUUGUAGAAAAGUAAAUAUUACACGUGGCAUGUUGUUAUUGGCUUGUUGACAUUGGAUUCCUGAACCCUUUUGUUAUUCAGAUUUUAUUUUUCUUUAGAAAAAUAUGCUCAUAUUUUUAUUUUUAUUUCAGAUUUUAAUUUUUCUUACUUUUAUUGGAGUCCUAUAACAAGAGGUUUUACAUUGUAAUAUAAUUUAAUAAUAUUAAUAAUUAAAUUUGUAUUUUUAAAUUUAAUAAAUAAAGAGAUUAAAUUCUAAAAUAUAAAAAGUAUAUAAUCUAUCCAUCUAUAAUGUAGCACCCCUAAUUCGUAUCCGUUGCCGGAAUAAGGUUACGGAGCAUUACCAGACCAACAAAAUAGUAAACCAUUCAAAUCAUACAUUAAUACAAACAUAAUUAAAUUUCAUUCAAAUGCAUUCAUAAUGUCCCAUUAAUUGAGCCUUUGAGGCCCUAAAAAUACUAUAGAAACAAUUCAAAACUAAAUCGAAAACAUUUGGAAAUUUUAGUAAAAAAUUGCAAAUUUUGGACUGCAGGGAUCACACGGCUGAGACGUACGCCCGUGUCUCAGGCUGUGUGGACAUUCGAGAUAGGGACACACGGCUGUGUCCCAGCUCAUGUCCAUGCCCGUGUAACUUACUGACUUGGGUCACACGGAUAAGCCACACACCCGUGUGCCAGGCCAUGUGCUAAGUCAUGUAACUGACUGACUUGUAUGCUUGAACCUACAAGGGACACACGAUUGAGACACAUGCUCGUAUCUUAGGCCAUGUAGCCUCAAAAUGAACCUUAAAACACAAAUUUACCAUUUCAAAUUACUUGGAACUUAAGCAAACCAUUUACAUAUCAAAAUACCUAUCCAAUUUGACUUUAAUCAUGCUAAAAUCAUACCAAAAUCAAACUAAUUCAGUGCCCAACUAAUGUACCAUCAUUAGUACCACAAGUUUACAUAAAUUUAUAUCAAAAUAUAACAUUAAUUCAACCUAUUAAUUCAUUCAAGAUAUCACCUAACAAACACCCACUCAAACAUACCACAUCUUAGCUUCUGAACAACCAAUUCAUCAUAUACUCUUAACCAUUCCAACAAGUAUCAAAUGGCCAUAUACACAUAUUGAUAAGGCACUAAAAACACCAAAAGAAGAUCAACCAAAACACUUUGUACAACUAAAUUCAUACUUAACUAUUUACAUAUCCAAAACAUUUGUAUCAUCAUUCAACCCAUUACAUGCCAUAUAAUUUGAAAUAAACGUUUCAAAAGCUAUCGAAUUAAGUUGGAUAGUAUAACUUGAGUGCUGAUUCGAUCGUCCAACCUUCCAAGUAACUACAAGAACAAAGUUUAACACAAAUAAACUCAAUGAAGCUUAGUAAGUUCGACAUAUUAAAUCGAUAAAUCUUACAAAAAUGAACAAAACAAAUAAAAAAUUAAUAUAACAACCAUGAAAGUUUAUUGUCAUCCACAAUCUCAUUUGGUUAUUCAUAACUUAUCAAUUCAAAUUUCAAAAAUAUUUGAAAAAUUCAUCAAAGUUACUCAAUAAAUUAACUUACCGAGAUUUUCAUCUCAAAGAACGGCUUACAGAUAGAAGUAUCUCAUCAGUCCAACUAAACUCACCAGAUGCUCACUCGAGCCAAUCCAUCCAUCACACCAAUGCUCAUAAGAGCUAAUCCAACCAUCACACCAAUGCUCAUAAGAGCUAAACCAACCAUCACACUAAUGCUCAUAAGAGCUAAUCUAACUAGCACACAAAAAAAAAAGUAUAACACGAGAGUUAGCAACAAAUGCUGAAUCUCGAUUUACUCAGGAAAUAUACAAAAAGAUCCCUUCAAUACCAUCUCCACUCCAAACCACCAUAACGCACCAAAACACAACUAUACUCUAUCUUGCGUUCAAAUCAAGCCAGGAUCAAGUUCAAUAUUAAACCUCAAAUUACCAUCCAUCAUCAUCAAUUAAAAACAAAUAUAUAAAUUGUAUCAUGUUAGAUUACUUAUUAAAUUAUUUUGAUAUUAAAUUCUAAACUGUACGAAUUUACAUGGACCAAAUUGUAAAAGUUGCAAAAGUUUAGAGAGUAUUCCGUAAAUUCUCCUUUUCCACGAGUAUAUAUGGUAUCUUGAUCUAAAAUGUAAAAUUCUUUAUUUAUCAACAUAUAUUUCAUUUCCAAUCCAUUUUACAAUCAAUACCCUUUUAUUUUCUAAAAUUACACAAUUACCCUAAGCUUUUAUAAUUUUUGUAAUUUAGUCUUUUAACCCUAAAUUCAUCAAAUUAAUCAUUUCUUUCCUUAAAUAAAUAUUUAUCCAAAUAUACUAAGGCCCUCAAAAGCCCCUAAUAAAUAUCAAAUUCACUAUCAAACCCUAAUAUUUUGACAUUUUCACAAUUUAAUCCUAAAAUCAAAAUCUAACAAAAAUUAUUUUACAAAUUUAUCAUAUAACAUAAUCGAAAUUCCAAAUACAUAAUAUUAAUAAAAAAAUAUUCAAUAUUCAUCAAUGACAACUUUCAAAAUUUUUAAUAGAAUAAAAAAUGAAGGUACGAGCUAGCUGGACUAGUUGCAAUAAUCUUAAAAACAUGAAAAUUACAAGAAACGGGUAUAAAAUUCACUUACAUGCAAGCUUCAUAUGUUAGCCAAAUAUCAAGCUUCUAAAAUGGUGAGAAUUCCCUAGGUUUUUUGGCAAGAAGGUGAGAAAAUGAUGAUUUUUGGCUUUUAUUUUAUUAAAUUUUAAUUUAUUUACUAAAUUACCUAUUUACCCUUACUUAAAACCUUUUACAAACACCAAUUAAAAACCCAUUAUAGACAAUUAAUAAUCAUAUGGGCUAAUUAUUGUUUAAGCCCCUUUUUAUCUCAUAAAUGAACUAUUAAAUCUAUGGAAUUCAAGAUUUACUAGACUUAACACUUUUUUAAAUUUAGUCUUUUUCUUUUAAUUAACUAUCUAAACAUUAAUAUUUCUAAACCAAAUUUUAAUACGAUUAUAUUGAAUUUAUAAAUAUUCUAAAAAUAAUAAUUAUGAACAGACACAAUGGAAAUUUGUGGUCUCAAAACUACUAUUCUGUCGCCAUUAAAAAUUGGGCUGUUACAUAUAAUAUGUAAAAAGAAUGAAUUUGGAAAAACUUUUAAAUUAAUGAGAGUAUUUAUUAUUUAUUAUAUUAUUAAAUUGAUAUUAAAAUAAUUUAUUAAUAUAUUAAUAAUGAUAAAAUCUUACCAUUAUUCUAAAAUAACUUAUAUUUAAUAUAUUUUAUUAGAACUUUUUAUUUGAAAGUAAUCUAAAAAUAUAAUAACUAUAAGAGGAUUAUUAGUAUACAUAUCUUAUGGUUUGUGUAUUAAAAUAAUAAAAUUAUUCUUUUAUUCUUAUAUUCAAAGCGUUAAACAAAAACAAUUUUUGUAUAUAAUAAAACAUUAUAUUAUAAUUUAAACCAUUAAAUUUUAUUAAUAAGUAAUAUGCUAUUAUUUUUCUUAUUUAAACCAACAACAAUGAUGUGUUAAUGCAGGAAUUGAACUCUACAAUUUCAAGCUGAAGCUUCAAAUUCAUGGCCUGUGAUCCAAAAAUACUUUCUUUCUCUAUGGGUUGCUUUCAUUUUUUUUUCAUUACUUUUGAAGUGUUAUUUUAUUUUUUAAUUAUUUUUUAAAAUUAAUCGAAUUUUAGUAUAAAUUAAAUCAAUCCUUAUUUAAUGAGUAAAUAUAUUCUUGAGAUUGUAAAAUAUAUAUUUAAUAAAUUAAAAAUAAACAUGUUUCAUAGAAAUAAACCCGAUAAUAUUAAUAAUGCUAUUAUAAAUUUUGUGUUGGAUUGGAAAAAUGUUUUUAUAAGUUAGUAGUGUUAGAAUUUGAUUUCAUCAUUUCCAAGAUGAGUUUGACUUAAUUUGUAUAUUUUUUACAUUAGAUUUAUUAGCUUUUAAUUAUAAUUGAUAAUUUAUCAAAGGCAAAAAUAAAAAAAAGUUCUAAAUUAACAUAAAAAUUAAACUCGUUCUUUACUAAAUAAAUAAGUUUAAUUAGUUUAAUUUUUAUGCCGGUUGAGUUUUAGUUGAAUUAGUAUGGGUAUUGUGGCCAAUGCAAGAUUACGUGGGUUCGAAUGUACUGAAGUACAUUGUCAUCCUAUUUAUGGGUUAGAAAGGGACUAUGUCUAGUUCUAAACAUUGUGUUAAAAAGAGUAAAUAUGAUCAUAACCUACAAUGAGAUUAUUCAAGAAAUUUUUUUUUUAUCUCAAAUCAAGUUUGCUUUAACUUGAGUUUUGUGUCGAGUCAAUAAACUUAUGCUUGACUCUAUUUAUUUAACCCUUAAAUACCAAGCUAGUAGGAAAAUUAUAAAAUAAUGAUUUAUUUAGUUCUCCAACUUUAUAAAAAAUUUAUUUUAGCGUUUCAUUUAAUUUUUCUUAUUUUUUAGCUUUCAAGUUAAUGUCUGGUAUCGAAUUAAUGUAAAUCACCACUUGAAUGUCACAUUAGCUAUUAAUUAAUUUUUAAAAUUAAAAAAAUAAAAAAUAUUUAAAAAUUUAUAAAAACAAAAAACUGUUUUUUUAAUAUUUUAAAAUUAAAAUUAAUUAAUUAUUAACAUAAUAUACAAGUGACCAUGUCAACAAAGACAAAAGAGAUGAAAAUUAAAUAGAAGAUUAAAAUAAUUUUUUUGUAAAGUUAAAAGGUCAAAUAAAUUAUUAUGCUAUUUAAAAAAAUUUAUUUAUUAGUAUUAAUUAAAAUAAUAUUUAAAAGUAAAAUAUAAGUAAAGAAUGAAAGAGAUUAUUGUUUUAGAAAAUUCAUCAAGUUUGACAUCAGAUUAUAAACUCUUCUUAUUCUAGAAAUUAUGCCUCAGCCCCACCUGGGACAAAAAGUUUGUGCAACUAAUGAAAAGGAAAAAGUGCUUCAUCGAUUGCCUUCAUAGAUCCAUUUCUCUGCGUUGCUUUUAUAGCUAACCAGUUCUUGUGGCUUGAACCAUAAGUUGAUUUCAUCCUUGGCUGUCUCAGGACCAUCACUCCCAUGAAUUAUAUUUCUGCAUUGUAAAAUAAAACCCCAUAUUUUACAUCUAUUUUAAAACUAAGAUACUUCAACAAUAGUUGGUCUUAUACCUUCCCACAACCACUGCUAGGUCACCUCUGAUGGUUCCAGGCUCCGAUUUCUGAGGAUCGGUUGCUCCGAUGAGUUUCCGGCCAUACUUUAUGACUCCCUCUCCUUCCCAAACCUGGUUUAUGGAAGAUUAAUUCAGCCAUGUUGGGAACAAAUACGAUGAGAAGAUAAGAUUUGUAGUUCAUCAUUUUACCAUAGCAACCACAGGGCCUGAGCUGAGGAAUGCACAGAGGCCAUAGAAGAAGGGUCUGUCUUUCAAGUCGUGGUAAUGUUUCUGGGCAAAUUCCUUUGAAGGAACCAAGAUCUUGAUAGCCACAAGCUUGAACCCUUUCCGCUCAAAACGAGAUAUGAUUUCUGCAAUCUGGUAAAUGUACACAUGCUUUUAGCUCAGCUAUCUGUCAUAUUUCAAUCCACCAUGCAUAAAAUUACAUGAAACAACUAUAAACUUGACAAGAAGAGGAAAUCACACUGUUCAGCUAUGUUGCUUUGAGUGUUUUUCUUAUAGUAUUUUUAUUUCAUAUAUUUUCUGAUAUGGCCCUUUAAGGACUUCCAAAUAAAUGGAAGAACUUGUAAAAAUUGUUUAUACAGAUGUCAAGUUUAUUUUUAUUCUAAGAUAUACGCAACAAGAAUAUGGCCUUAAAAUAUCCUUGAGGUUCAUAUAGGACGUAAGAAUCUGAUCUUCAAAAAUUCUUCAAGUAUAUAUAUAAAUAUUUGGAAAAGAAAAACUCAGAACAUAUCCAUGUGAGACACAUAUUGAAACUUAAGCCAAUGCGACUUAGUUUCAAUCUAUUGCUAAAAAUAUUUGGAAGUCUUAGAUAAGUUUAAGUUGAUGUUAAUACAGAUCAGAAGAAUCUUACAAGCCCUCUUUGUACUCCAUCAGGCUUGAUAGCAAUGAAAGUGCGCUCCAUCUGAAUGACGAAAAAUGGAAUGAAAAAUAUUGAAGAAAUGAGUAGCAUUAUCACAUAGAGUAGUAGCUAUAAAAUCGAAUGUGUAAUGGUACCUGUGCAGCGUGAGCUUCUUGGUCCUGAACCAUGUAAGCUACAAAGAGAUAAUCAAAACAUUCAGUUCAGAGUUUUUGCCCUUUUUUUUUCUUUUUGUUGGGGGGGGGGGAAUGGAGGGAUGAUUCAUCUACAGAGAUUUAAGUAUCUAAACCUGCCAUUGGAAGAGCAAACAUUCCUGAAAGCCAUCCUCUUGAUGCAUUGGCUGAACCACCAUUUCCAUAAGCUGAUGAAGCUAAAAGAGGCACCUUACUGUUAAGCGAAACUGCUGUUGCUGCAGCUACUGCCCGCCCUUCUGCUGACGAUAACAUAAAAGUUAGAUACCUUAAAACAAAAUGUUUUCAUCUUUCAUGUAAUAGAAAUUACAAGCAUAUACAUGUACGGAUGAAUGCUUAGUAGACAAACACAGGUAGUUUUUUUCUUUUAAAAAAAUCCAAUAGUGCAAUCUAUCUUAGAGUCGAAUUGGUCAGACCCCAAAUGGAGAAAACACUCUCAGAGCAUUUAUUUUUUCAUUCCCAAUACUUAAAAACUGAUAUCUUGCCUAAAAGACACAUAGCUCGUUACUGCUCGACCCGACAAAAGUUGGUAGCUAUAUAUAGGUUUUUAACACAUGAAACUUGUACAUUCUUAACUUUCUUUCUCACUAGAUCAAACAAUGUAGCAGCUUAGGUCAUUUCUGAGAGGAAAAACAUGUUUCCUCAAGAUCGGCAUAUGGUUUAAGUGUUUGAUUAGACACUCCACUUGAAUAUAACAUUUCAAGCAACCCGAAAUUUAACAAAUGUUCAAAACCUAUGAGAGAACAUCAUUUUAACUGUAUGAAUCAUGAAAUGCAAGGAAGAAUAAAUAAUGAAUAAUAUUGAAACCAAUACAAUAGAUAUAGGUUUGGGAAGGGGGUCAUUUGAUAGAGCAAACUUUUCAAAUCAGUAAAACUUACAUCUAAUACUAAGAUGAAGGAGGCUUUAAAAACAUGAAAAGUGGAACAGAAUUUUUUUUUUUCUUCCUUUCUCUCAGGAAAUGGGUGGAAAGCAAAUCUGUUAGGGGGACACAAAAAGUGACAUUCCUCUUUUUGAAGGUCUACAUCAAGUACCGAACUAAUCAUUGGGGUGAGUGUAGAUGUCAAUUACAAUAUACACUCCACAAGAAUAUAUAUAUUUUUUAACUUUUCACAGAUUUAGUUAUUGAAAGGUCACAUUCCUAUUAGUAAAAAUAUCCUAAUGUGUUUGUAUUUACUUUAUUUAUUAAAAAAAUAAGUAAAUUAGUCUCAUAUUUUACUUUCUUUUACUCAAAAAAUAGAUAAAUUAGUCUUUAUAUAUUAGAUUAAAAAGUACUCUAGUCAUUCUUUUAAAAAUUAUAUCCAUGUUCACUAUUGAAAAUUGGUCAUUUUACAUUAUGAUAAGGUAUAUGUGGCACAGUACGUGUAAUUAUUUGAUUAUUCCGUCAAAUAUGUCGAUUUUUAACAAUAAAGAUAGAUAAUUUUUUUAACAAAAAGGACCAAUUUGAACUUUGAUGCAAGGACUAAUUUAAUGAUUUUUUGAGUAAAAUGACAAAAUGUAAUCUAUAUCCUAAUACUUUUACCUACUACAUAAUUUUUUUUAAGCAUAUAAAAAAGUUUUCAUCCAUUUUACGAUUUGAGUCUACUUUUGUAAAGAUUUAUAUGAAUAUGAUAUUGAAGAUCAAAUAGACAAAAGUGAAUAAUCGUAAAAACUAAAAACUAAAAACUUGAUCAUAAUUUUUUUUUAAAUUUUCAUUUUAAUUAUCCCCUAAAUCUUUUAUAAAUUUGGUUAACCUUUAAAAAUUUUUAAAAGUAAUUAAAUCUAUCAAAAUUUUUAAAAAUUUUAAUUAAUUCAUCAAAGCUUAAAUCCUAAUAUUAACCACUGUGCACAGAGAUGAAAUAACAUCUUCCACUUCCGUCCAAACAAGAUAGAAAGAUUAAACAAUCAUCUUAUUUCGACACUUGAUAAAGAAUCAGAGUUCAAAAUGACUCGGACGAUUGAUCUAAAACUAGUAAUAAGAAUCAGAGAUUAAUAUAAUAAAACUGAAAAAAAAAAGUACUUUCAACGUUUAAUCAAACACGAAAUAUGAUCUUUUAAAAUAAUAAUAAUAUUAAAAAACCAAACAUUUUGCUUUAUCAGGAAACAUAUUCAUCAAGAGAUAAAUUCACAGAUCAGACAUCGCUGAUCUCCCCAAAAACUGAAAAAAAAAUGCAGAAAAAAGGCGUUACUAAAACGAUAAGAUGAAGAAAUCACCGGUGAAAAAGCGAGAGGUCUUCGAAGCUGAAAGGAGUGAUCGGACGACUCUAGAAGCAGAUUUGCAAAUGUGAGAGCUCAUUUUUUGUUGUUGUUGUUCUGUUUUUUGGGAGGAUUGAUUUGGUAUAAACAAGCCGAGAGCUGAUGAAGUGUUUGUUUACGGAAGUGAUAACUAAAUUUAGAUAUUUUGACUGGCGUAUAUAUUUAUAUUAUAAUAUCUUUAAUUAUUUUCUAGAAUAAAUUUCGGUUCUGAUAUCUUACCAAAAACUUGUUGAUGCUUAAAAUGUAGAUUCCAGCAUACUUAUUUAAACCUUUUUACCCAUAUAGACUCAUUAGACACAUAGAUUGGAGGCAAAUCUACAGUAAUUGAUAUCAUCAUGGAAGCCCUCUGGUUUCAGUUGCUUGUGUAAAUGAAAACGACAAUAGUCCUUCCAUCCUUACUUAUUCGACCGUCGCGAGGCAAGGCGUUUGGAGGAGCGGCCAGGAGUUAUAGGCACAGAAGGUGAUGCUGGUGCCUCCUCGUCGUCCCAAUUAUCACCCCAGCGGUCAUCCCAACCCUCGUUAACGUCCGGUUCUCUUCUUGCCCUACCAGAUACAGGCAGCUCCCUGUUUAGCCUUUGGUAUUUGGAGCCACUUCUUGGGAGUUGCCUCCAUCUAAAGCUCUUACACAUCCAACGUGAUGCUAAUAUCAGUAUAGCAGCAGCGAAUAUAAGGGCAGUUGUAGGGGUUUGUGACAUGAAGUUCACAUAGGACUUGCCCGAACCAUGCGCAAUGAAAUCCUUGUAAUCGAGACUGCAUUCUCCGGUACCGUCCUUUAAGAAAAUCAAGUUUCCGGUUCCUGAUUUUUUUAUGGUAAUCUUUACCUGCGCAAAUGCAUUUAACGGAUACAACAUUCUGUGAACAUAUUAUUGGUACCGUAAACCCUAAAACACAUGCUAUAUAACACGAAUAUCUUAAUAACUUGCAAUAUUAUUUACAAAUACCUUUGUAUCUUGAUUCUCUUGGAGUUCAACAUCCAUUUCAUCUAAGUCAACAAAAGCAGGAGCAGAUAUUUUAAGGGUAAGAGGCCCCUUUCCCUUGUUCUGAAUCACAAGUAAUAGAUUGGGAGAAUCUGGAAUAUUGCAAACCAAAGUUAAAAAGGCCAAAUAUUGUCUAAUGUGAUCAUCAUGACAAUUCAUACUCUUUUCUAUUGUUGGAAACUUGCAACCAUUUAUAGUUAGAGGAUAUUUACCAUUUCCUGGAACUCGCAAACAGGCAGCAAACCUUUUCUUCGUAUCCGUACACAUAUUAGAUGAGUUGCAUUCUUCAACUUGAAAGCCAUCAUUACUUGUUAGUGAAGGCGGUGGCGGUGGUGGUUCGACUGAGUCCCGUAUAAUGCCAUUCUCUUCAUUCACUUUCUUGGGGUCCACGCUAUCAUCCGGAGUUUCCUUUUGCUCACCAUCUGUCAUCCCCUCGUCUUCAACAUCCGAUUGUUCCUGGCCGUUGUGCGUAUUAUCACCUUCUUUCCCACCAUCCGUCUUUCCUUUUGCUUCUGCACUCGAUGCUUUCCCACCCUUAUCUGAAUUCUCGCCUUCAUUCAAACCCGAUUGCUGGUUGAGAUCGCUCUUACUUGCACCACCACCAUCAACAUCCCCUUUUGAUCCAUCAAUUUCAUUGCCACCGUCAACUUCCCCACCAUCUGUCUUUGCUUUAGCACUCGAUGCUUUCCCACCUUGAGCCAAAUUGUCGCCUUCAUUUGUACCUGAUUGUUGGUUCAAAUCACUCUUACUUGUACCACUGUCAACACUUUCUUUUGAUCCAUCAACUUUCCCAACAUCAUUCAUCUUUCCUUUUACCUCCUCACUCGAUGCUUUCCCACUUUUAUCCAAAUUCCCACUUUCAUUUGAACCUGAUUGUUGGUUCCAACCACUCUUACUUGCACCACUAUCAACACUUUUUUCUGAUCCAUCAUUUUGAUUGCCACCAUUAUCUAUCGCUUCACCAACUCCAAUGGAAUCCGAAGUAGAUUUAGAAUGAACUUCUUUUAUAACUGGAUCUACUUUGCCACCUACAUUUUGAUCGAAACCACUCUUUCCAUUAACGUUUCCCUAAAACCAAACAUCAGUGAGAAACCGUCUUAAUCCCAUCAUCAAAUUAACCAAUUCAAUAAACAUCUAUUAAAUUAUUUAACAAAGAAAACCUCACCUCUGUAUCAUUACCAGAGCAACCGACAACAACUAGCAGCAGAAAAAUUCCCACCAAAACAACAUAAUUUGUUUCCAUAAUUUAAGAUACACCCACCUUUUUGUGCUACAAAAAACAACCUAUUUAACAUAGAAUUCAUUUAAAUACAUGCAUAUAAAAUUUCACUUGGAAAGAGUUAUAUAAAACAAGGAGGAGGUUUCCAACCUUUAAAUGAAACCUUGUUGGGAUGCCUGUUUUCAACAGCUUUACACUUCAUUACUGAGUUUAUUUCCUGAGCCAAAUUAAAAGGCUUACACAUUGAUCGAAUAGAGAGCUUUUGAAUGAGUUUAAUAGUAGAAGAGAAAGAGGGUGAGUUUGACCAGAGAAUUAAAAAACGCCAUCCUUUUUCGUUCUGAGUUGCAAAUCGUUGUCUUUCUGACAACUUGUAAUGCAACGUUAAUUCCUUGUAAGCAUAUGUCUUGUUCCGGGAAGUCAGUUUCUGUCGUAAAUUUCGAUAAAAAAAAAAAGCUUGCUAAAUGUUUAUCACCAAAUACAAAAUGUUCGACGAAAACUAAGUAAUCUAAUAACUAUUUAAUUUAGAUGACUGUUUCUGCACGGAUAUGUUGACAUCAAACAUACUAUUAUAUGUUUCGAGAUAGGAAAGUUAAUUUAUUGUUACAGGCCUGGGUUUUUAUGACAAUGACCCAAAUUUUGUAACCAAGUAAGCUCGUCGGCUAGUCUUAUCCGAAACUUUCUAAAUACCAUUGGUGGUCAAUUGAAAUCGACAUAAUACUGGAAGCAAGCCAUUACUGUUGACUUCUUCCGCUGAGUGAAUGAUGCUUCCAAAAUUCUGAUAGAGCUAUUCACCAGCCUUGCCUAGCUAAUAGGCUUUUGCUAUAGUUCAAGUGAUACCAUAUACUUCAAGAGAUGACUUAUAUUUUAUGAGUUUAAAUGUUACCAAGGACCAGACUCAAAUUGCUUCUUGAUGAGUGGUCAUAAGUUCACUUCAAAAUUUUCACCGACUAUAAUAUCGAUUUUUCAAUCAAUAAUUAUUUUUAAGUUAUAUUCUUUAUAAAUUUAAAUUUUAAUCUCUAUACUUCUAUUUCUAACAAUAAUCUCUUUACUUAAUCAAAAUACAAAAUAUUCCACGAAAACUAGGUAACCUAAUAAAUAUUCUAUUUAGACUAUAUUUGCUCGGAGAUGUUGACAUCAAACAUACAGAGUAUAUUCCGACGUUGGACUUUGUUGAUCUGAAAGUGAAACUCAAUCUUUUAAGAUGCUCAAAAUUCAAGCAGGUUUAGCAGGAUCGAAAAGUUUAAUUCUUUAAUUUAUGAUUUAACCCUUCAAAUAUAUAUAUUUACUUUAGUGCUUCAAGUAUGCCUCUGUUAUAGCACCACAUGACUUUCUAUUGCAAAAUAUAUAUAUAUAGAUAUUAUUUUCUGCAAGUAAUUUUCUGUCGUUAGAUUUGAUAAGAAAAAGCUUGAACUGUUGCUAAAUGUUUACCACCAAGUUACAAAAUGUUGGAUGAAAAGAAACAUUUAAUUUAGAUGAGUGUGUGCGUAGGGAGAUGUUCAAAUCAAACCUACUAUAUUUUGACGUUGGAUUUUGUUCUCUUAAAAGAAACUUAAUAUUUUAAGAAGCACAACAACAGUGGAUUGGACCUGGACCCAAAUUUUUUAAGCAGGGAAACUAGUGGGCUAUGUUGUAGAUGAAUGAAACUUCGGAAAUGACAUGAAGUGGGGCACGAAUGGGAUGCUCUGAGUGAUUUGUGUUUAACCAAGGCAAGUAAAUUUUAUACGCAACUUUAUCCGAUCAAAGCUCUGAUCAGUUGCUUUCCGCCAACCUGGUCCAUGUGCCAUGCAACCCCACCCCUAAAGAAAAACCCUAUACUAGGACGUAAACGGAUAUCUUGUAAAUUACUCGAUGGGUUUCUAACACCAUCUAUAUUGGUAAAAGAAUUUUUUUUUUUUAAAAUUUAUUGGAUUAUGAUUAUAAGUGAGAUGAUAAAGGAAUUUGUAUUUUAAUAUUAUAGAAUACGUGCUCGAUCAUUAGAUUUAUAAUUAAGGGGUGAAAUUAAAAAUUCUUUUAGGAGGUCGGAACUAAAUUAUAAAAUUUUUAAGAGAUUCAAAUGUAAUUUCACCAUGUAUUAAUUUAUAAUCUAUUUUUUAUGGAUCAAAUAAAAUUUUUUUAUAUUUAGGGGGUAAAAUGCAAUUUUACUAUAUAUUAAUUUACAAUUUUAUUAUUUUUAAAAAGAAUGAACUAAAAUUUUAAGGCCCAUGCUAGCCCCAAUCUUUCGCCUCUAAUACUAACUCAGUAAAGUGCUUAAAUAUAGUAAGAAUAAUUACAUACCAAUAUACAACAAAUUAUGAUAUGGAAAUCCAUAUAUAACUAUUUACAACUCUAAUUAAUCUUUAUCAGCAAAAGUUGGUGGGCUCAGCAAACUGUCCAAGAUGCCAGGGAGGGGCAGAGAGUCUGGAGCAUGUUUUUAGAGACUGCUAUGCUGCAUCAGAGAUAUGGGCAAAUCUAUAGAUUGAAUGGCCACAAGAGCAGAGUCAUGCACGGUUUAAGGACUGGAUGAUGUUUCUUUUUAAUAGUUUUCUGGAAUCGUCGGUCUGCUGCAGAACUUGGAAAAUGAAAAAGAGUGGAAAAUGUGAAAGAAGAGGGAGCGACAGAUUUGAGAGGUUGACAUGCUGAUUUUAGUUUUAGGGGUUUUUUUAGGAUAAUUAUUAGUAUUAAGUUAGGACGUGGGCUAUAAUCUGAUUAGGUUUUGUGCUAAUAUACAAUCUUUUCUACGAUAAUUUCUCAUGGGUUAUAUUAGUAUAGCUAAAAAGUUAAAUGAUUUUUGGGCUCAACUAGAAAGGAAACAAUGAAAUUGAUAUUUUUUAGCCCCAUUAAAAGGAAAAAUAAAAAAUCAUCAUAUGCAUUUACCUUCCGCUUUCUCUACGGUAAUCAUAAUGAAAAAUAAAUUACCUUUAUAACUAUUUUCUUGAGGGAUGUUUUGUGAAGACUAUGUUAAGAAAAGUAAAAAUAGUAAUUGAUAACCAGCAAUUAAAGUGAAAUUAUCAUAAAAGAAACAAAAUACAUAGACACAAACAUAAAACAAUUGUUUUUCUAGUAUAAUCAAAGUAAUUUCAUUUCUAUUUUACUGAUUUAUAAAAAUUAAUUUUUUCAAAAAUUUAAGAUUUUUUCUCUUAAAAAUUUCGUCUAAAAAUAUAAUUAUUAUAAGAAGAUUUUUCCUUUUUAAAAAAAUAAUUUUCACAUUCGUUUUACGGUUUAUAUUCAGAGUUCGGGAUUAUCUCUCUUAAUAAUAUCGUUUCUAAAAUAAAAAUAUUAUAUUUAAUCACUAUAAAAUUAAUUGCUAAAAUAUGUAUAACUAUUAGAACCAUGAAAAAUUAAUAUAAAUUAUUAAAAUCUGUCAUAUCAAAUGUAAAAAUAUACCUAAUAAAUUCAUUAACAUGUCAUCUUCCAAAUUAGAGCUAUUAUGCAUGGCAACGAAACACCUUAGCUUGGCGGCGCACGUGGCCCACAAGUCAAGUUUACUCUAAAAUUCAGGGUUAUGAUCAUGCCACAUACUCAGUACAUAUUUCAUCUUUAUUUUUUAAUUUCAAAAUCAAUCAGUUAAAUACCUAAGAAGCUUAAUGAUGAUUUAGCUAGCUUUCUUCAAAACCCUAAAAGAGUUGCUUAUUUAUAUAAUUAGUCCUUUUCAUAGAUGGAGAGACCAAACAGAUUUGUCAAACCGUCCUAUCUAUACAAUAAAUGAAUCUAAUAUAUUUCCUAUGACAACAAAAUUAAUUAAAAAUACUAUGAUAUAUUGAUGUAUUAUAUCAAAGUUUAUAUAUCGUAUAUUUAAUUAAAUGCAUGUAAGAAAGAACAGACCGGAUCAAGACAGGCCAUUGAAGGAGAGAGAACCGACAAAGGUCGCCCCUUUUAUCCAUUAUGUUUGGACCUUCUGCUCUCCAACCCUACGUUUGAGUCUGUCUUGUGACUCUUGCCUGCCUUAAGCACCUUUGUAGUCUCACAAUUAUUAUUAUGUCUAAUAUUCCAUUUAUGGUUCACAUUUGACAUAGAUAGAGGCAGUUACCAAAAACAUCAAAAUUUAAAUACUAUAAAUAUGGUGUUAAAAAAUAGUAAUUAAUUUAUCCAUCCGAUUAUUUGGGAUACCUAUUUUUUUCUUUUUGAUAACAAAAAUGGAAUAAUAAACUAAAAGGAAGAAAAAAAAGGGAACUAAAGCCAUAAGCAUACUUUCACCAAAAAAAAAAAAAGAAAGAAAAAAAAGCCAUAAGCAUACUAUCCAACCUUAACUGGACAUUGACUAAAUGGGAAGUCCUAUGAAAAAUAUGGAUGCUUGAGUAGAACUUCAUCAAACCAGCUAACGAGUGAGCGGCAAAAUUCAUACAAUUGAGAUCUGAUUGAAAACUACAUUUCAAUCCUGGCAACAUAACUCCUUAGGAUACUUAUUUGACUAAUAGAUUUGAUAGAUUAUUUUAUUAUAGGCACUAAAUUAAAUCACAUCUAAAGGAAAUUACUUAAAUAAAGGUCAGUUAUUACUCUUUUGAAGAUACAAAUUUGAUUUGAGUUUUAAGACGAACAAUUCUUAAUCAUUAAAUUAGUCAUGAAAGAGAUGAAUUUAAUUUUUGAAUUAUUAAAAAAAAUGAAAUAAGACUAAUUAAAAUAUUUAAUGAAAAAUACAUUAAACUAUAAUAUUGAUGGAAAACAUACGUGUCUUAAUCAAAUACAUUCAAUAUUUUAAAAUAAAUCCAAAUAAUAUACAUAUACACAAGUCUAAGUUGUGUCAAAAUGGCGGUGCUCAUGUUUUGCAAAUUAAAGGCAGGGAAAUGAGUUGGGUUUUCACAUUUAAACCACUAUUUUUAUGGAUUUAAGAUUAAAACUUUCAUAUGAACUCGCUGUGUAGCUCAUAUCUAUGUCAAACAUAUUCAACAUGUUUUCAACUUAUGAAAUAAUGGGCAAUAAUCCAACGAUUUCUAUAAGACAAUAGAUAAGGUUUUUAUCUGUAUCUUUUUGAGUCAUGACUUGAAGAAAGUCUUUCACUAUUUCAAAAUUAACUUGGACUACUGACAAAAAUAUUUUAUUUUAUUUUUUUUUAUGAAAAUUUAUAUUUGGAUUUUUAUUACUUUUUAGAUAAAAAAAAAACAGAUCACGUUAGUUUUUUAACCUUUAAGCCAUCUCUUGCUUAUAGGGAAAAAAUGCAUUCACUGCGAUAGUGAUACACAUGAUCUAUUUCUCUAUUUCAUCAUUUUUAUUUAUUCAGCUUGUUGAUUUAAAUGCAAACCUCAAGGGUUGUACCGAGCUAAUAGAGGGAUCGAUUGGAUAUAUAUAAUUAGGGCUCAAAUAAUUUGUAAUUAAGUUUCGAUUUUUUGUAUAUUAAUUAUAACAUUACUUAGUCAUGAAAUCAUUCCACUAAAGUACCAUGACUAAGCUCUCCCUAUUAUAUACCAUUAUGAAAGCAACAUAUCAAGUGUCUGUCCAACGACCUUAUCAUAUAUGUUACCUUCAUAAGAUAUCUUUAGUCUGUUUGGGUUAAAUCUGUUCACCCAAAAUGAUCCUAUUUUAUCUCAUAGUAACUAUUACGUAUUCUUUCAUGAAAAAAUAAAUUACUAACAUAUAGUAAUUAAAUAAUUUGUCCCAGACAAUUGAUCAGUGGUCAUGUUACUUUUCCUUCUAUCAUCCAAUGAGAGGAUAUCAUUUACCCUUUAAUGGUCUAUGGACUUCACUAUCGUAAAUAACGCUAUGUUAUGUUGAAGCAGUAUAUCCAACGUACCAGCUUUCGACAUUAUUACCAAUUGAAUUCAGACUUUCAGUACUUUAAAUUGUACGAUUCACAUAUACAUAGUCCUUCACUUAUUCGAAUUUGAGGCAAGCCACAUUAUGAACAUUACAAGUGAAGAAAUUCAUUAACAGAUCUAAGAUUUAUUCUACUUCGGUCUUAUCUGAUGUAUUGUUAGUCUAGACCAUCACAUCUUUGUCUUUACCUUCUAGGAGUUAUUUGUUUUGAUACCUAAGAUAAGGUAUCCCCUAAUUUGACUUGAUAAACAUCACAAUAGUCAUUGAAUUGAUUUACUCAAUUUCUACUCAUUAGACUAUGGAUCAUUUAGAUUACCUACUAUAUAAGUUAUCUUCUCUCAUUAUGAUCUAAUCACAUAAUGCAACUUAAUAUUAGUUAAAUGUUAGAUAAUCUGUUAGUCAAUAUUUUCUUAUACAUUUUGCUUUACGUACAAAAACCAUUGAGGACAAAUACAAAAACCAUUGAGGACAAAUACAAACACCAUUGAGGACAAAUACAAACAAUAUUAAUGUGAAUGAUGGAAAUUUUAUUAAACCAAUCUAUUUGAAAAAUUACAAAUCUAUAUGAUGAAAAACUACACUAAAUGCACUAGAUCCCAACACCACUAGCACCUUGGAAAUUAACAUCAAUGUCAUUAGGAAAGUUACAUGGCCAUUAAACUGAUUCCAUCUUAUUUGUAUGCAGUUUUAUUUCUCUUAGAAAAACUACAUGAGGAGCUUUAACCUUUAACGAAUGCCAGAGUCUUUGAAUUGCACCUAGGCUUCCAAUUCCACAGGGAUUCCAACUUAAUGUACUUGUGGAUUCAAUAUGACAAAAUCUAGAAGCAACAUCAUUCUCGGAAACUUUAGCAUCCAGUUCACUAAUUUCCAUUAUGCAAUAUCAACAUCCUCUACAACACCAUUUCGUUUACUUAUUGAUAAUUAAACAACCCAGAAGAACUAGUUGUCUUAUAGAUCUCGCUUGUCUCUUCUAAGUCCUUGUGCCCUUUUUGUGAACCAAAAAAUUCUUAGAAACUUCUUUGGAACUAGUCUCUACAAUGACACCUGAAACCUAUGCUAAAAAAUUAGAAGUAAUGCAAUGUUCCAAUUGAGAUGCACCCACUAUAAACUCUUUUAUUGGAAUUUUAGCAAAAUCAACAAGGAUAAAUAUGAUAAUUUAACCACAAAAUCCUUAACUAGAAAUUUAGAAAAAAAAAGAUUAAGAUCUAACUUAAAUUGUUAUCAAUCAAAAUCACUAGAAAACUAAACCAUCUUGUUCAUUCUUGCUGACCAAUCUACCCACCUUAGGAUUAUCCCCCAUGGAUGCAACAUCCAAAAACAAUUCUUUCACAAUCUCACUUGCAAUAUCCGAAUUAGAAAAAGAUCUAACAUCAUCUAUCAUAUUAGAAAAUUCAACACUCUAAGAAUUAGCAUUCUCCAUCGCGUCUCGUAGGCAUGACCUCUUCAUCAAAAUUAAAACAUUGGCUAUUAGGGUGAACACAUUCAACAUCACCAACUAUGGUCAAGUAAACCAUAAACAUGAAAAAUAAUUGUAGAAAGUCUCUCACAUUUUACUUGUAAACAUUGAACAAUCCUUCCUUGAGCUCCCUUCAGCGAAAUAUAGCACAACAAGCACUACGGGAAAAUAGACUUUUAGCGGCGUUUUUUUACCUUUUUAAGCGCCGCUAAAACUAUUUGCAGCGUUUUUACAAGCACCGUAAAAAACGCCGCUAUAGAUAACGCCGUUAAAGUUUGCGGCGUUUAUUUAAAAAAACUCAGCUAAAGGUCAUAAAAUUUAAAAAAAUAUAUAUUAUAAAAUAUUAUAAAGGUCAUGAAAAAUUAAAAUUCAUUAUCAAAAUAUUGAGAAGAAUAAUAUCCAUGAUAUAAAUAUAAAAAUUUUCUAUUAAAAUUCUAUUAAAAUUCAUUAUCAAAUUAAAUUUUCUAUGAAAAAUUUAACUUUAGAACUAAAUAUAAAAAUUAUUAAAUUCAAAUUUAGAAUUUAAAAUAAUAAAUUAAUAACACAAUUAAAAUCCAAAAGUUAGAACUCAAGUUAUUAAAUAUUAAAAUAAAAAAAAAUAUAGAAUCAAAACUAAAAUAAAUAAUAAAAAUUAGAUUAAAUAUAAAGAUAUAAAUAAAAUAUAGCAAGUCUUUUACUAACAACAAGUCCAAAUACAUCAUCUUGUUUGCGAACCUAAACAACACUGAAAAUGCAAAGGUCUUUUAUAAAAGACAAAUUGCUAAGUUUUGAACUAGGAAUUCUAAUACCUCGGAGGACAAUGCAAAGGUUAAAGCUUCAUAAACUACACUCUCAUCAAGACAAGAUGCCAAUGAACCUACAAAUAGAGGGGAAAAAAUAUUAUAGAUUUGAAUAGUCUGAAAGUGUCUAAAGGAUUUUUGUACACUACUCCAGUCUGUUAAUACAGAAAUCGUUGAAAAGGCUGUGUAUAAUAUGUACCUACAACAUACAAAAUAAUGUAACGUGAAACCUAAAUCCGUUAACUACGAAAUUGCAGGAAAAGAGAUCUCUUUUCCAGCAACUAAACACUUCAAUUUGCAGCGAUAAAACAUUUCAAUUUCCAGCAACUAAACACUUCAAUUUGCAGUACUUAAAACAUUUUAAUUUACAACAUUUAAGCACUUCAAUUUACAGUGUUUAAACACUUCAAUUUGCAGCACUUUAACAUCUCAAUUAACAACAUUUAUAUAUAUAACUCACUUACAGCAAUAAAACAUCUCAAUUUCCAGACACUUCAAUUUACAACAUUUAAACAUUUCAAUUUACAACAUUUAAACAUUUCAAUUUACAGCAUUUUAAACAAUAGCAGCCAUCAAUUAAAUAAGAGGAAUUUUAAACAUUUAAUAGUUAUUUCCAUCAUAAUCGACAGCAAAUUAUCCACCAUUUAAUUAGCUUAGUUUCAGCAUUAAUUCGGUAAUGAGCAACAAUAUACAGCAGCAUUCAAUCCACCAUACAAAGAUAUUUCAAACAUCAAUUUACUCACUUCCGGACCUCAUUAACAGCAGCAAUUUAACUGAUUUCUUUCAUACAGUUCUUCCAACCCGAAACAGCAAGAUUAAACCACUAAGAAUUGAUCUUACCUAAACCUGAUAAACCAUGCUAUUAGGAUGUUGAAAUUUGAAAACCAAGAUCAUUGCUAGUGCUAAUUAAUAAAAACAACAAAACAUUUAAACGUUGCAAGACAAUAAGUCAGGAGAAAUAGGGCAUGCUUUCAAUACUUAAAGGCUAGCUCAAAAUGUUCCUAAGUUGCCAAAAGGACUACUAGAGCACUGAAAUUUAGUAGGGACUUGAGACAGCUAGAGUUCCUUUCUUUCUACCUUUUUCAUUUCAUUUUGUCCUCCAUAUAAAUUAAUUAGAGCUAUAAUUUCUCUUGCAAAAAAAAAAUACCAGCUACUAUCAUGAACAUUUAAAUACUUGUGCACAUAACGAGAUGAAUUAUUUCAAGGAACAAUUAGUAUAAAAAAUUAAGGAAUUGUUUCAAGGAACAAAAUAAUAAAUACAGAGCAUGUUCUGGGUAAAAAAUUAACUUUGGAACAAAUUAUAACACAAAACUAACAACAGUUUUAAGCUCAAACUUAUACAUUUAUUCAAUUAUAUAAUUAAAACAACAAUCUUAUAUAAAAAUAAUAAUAUAAUAUUUAAUAAAUAUUCAUAAAAAAUUAAUAAAAUAUGUAAUUACAUAUUAAAUUAAAUGAAAUAAACCGACACUUGGAAGUGUAGAACAUAGAGAUAUAAAUAUAAAUCUCAAGGAUUUCAAACCUCAUAAACAGGCUCUAAUUGGUUCCUUGGAGUUCUUUUAACAGUUUCACGUUGUUGUUUUGCUCCAUGUGCUUUUAACACUUUUUCAUUGUCAUUGUUUCACGUUCGGCUGAAAUAGAAAGAAAAAAGGAUAGGUAGGUAGAUACAACAACACAUAUCUACAGUGUUAGGAUGCAUAAAGUAAAGAAUAGAUGGCAGUAAGUGACAAAGAAAGGCAUAAAUCAUGGCGUAUGAAAUAGAAAGUAAAGAAGGGACAACUUAAUUUCAUGCCUCGUAAUCAGUUAAAAACAGAAGCUUAGUGUGAAUGUGAGGAUUAGGUCUGAUUACAUUAAAUUACUUGGUGGCCAACAGCUUUGCAGUAUUCAAUACAUUUCAGUUCUUUCUUUGGUUUGAAUUUUCCAACUUAGCUCAAACAACACUGGAGAAAAAAAGCCGACAAAACAACGCGUAUUAUUAUUAUUCCUACUGAUUGUAGAAAAGUCUACAACAAAACCAAAAUAAUAGACAAAGAACACGCUUCUCCUCUGCCCCCUCCCCUGCUGCAUUUUCCUCUUCUUUCUGCGAUUUUCUUUGCCAAAUAGUUCAUGCUUGUGGACCUGCACACUCAUCAACCUAACCCAAUGGUGAUAUCUUCUUCAUAAUUCUUCAUAAUCUCAACCUUAUCUAAACUAAACUUAAAAAAUUAAGGAGUUGUUUCAAGGAACAAAAUAAUAAAUACAGAGCAUGUUCUAGGUAAAAAAUUAACUUUAGAACUAAUUAUAACACAAAACUAACAACAGUUUUAAACUCAAACUUAUACAUUUAUUCAAUUAUAUAAUUAAAACAACAAUCUUAUAUAAAAAUAAUAAUAUAAUAUUUAAUAAAUAUUCAUAAAAAAUGAAUAAAAUAUGUAAUUACAUAUUAAAUUAAAUGAAAUAAGCCGACACUUGGAAGUGUAGAACAUAGAGAUAUAAAUAUAAAUCUCAAGGAUUUCAAACCUCAAAAACAGGCUCUAAUUGGUUCCUUGGAGUUCUUUUAACAAGCGAUAUUAGUAUAUCCAUAUGCUUUCAAGUAGAAAAAUUUAUUCAAGGGGGUUACUGUUUAUGAAUGGAAUGCUUGUUAAGUGCCAUCUAUUAAAGACUACUUAUAGUUUUCUCAAGUCCUUUGCAAACUAGUGGAUCACAUUCAAUAACACCAUACUUUCUACUGCCUUUGCUGGUAAAGGAUAAACACAAAAAAAAUAAGAAUUCUAUUGUGAGUUAUAAGUUAUGAGUUAAGGCACAAAUAAUGAAAUAUAAGCAUUAUUUAAAGAAUAAAUCAUACCAAGUAUGGAGAGAGACCUACCUUAGCAGAUAUUUCCAAAGAUUUCAUGUAAAUUUCAUUGCUGGGAUCCUACAAAUACAAAGCUACCAAGUUAAAAAAAAAAGCAUUCAAGCAUUGAAUCUAUAGAUCCAUCCAUAAAUGCAGUAAUUGAUACUUUAGCCAAACAAAACUACAGAAAAACCUCAUCAACUACUUGCUGGAAAUAUUGAGCUGCCUUUUCGAAGUAAGGCCCGGCCUCAUCUUCCUUGUUAGUCAAAAAUGCAAAAGAAGUCUGAGCAUUUCCCAAACACCAUAAAGCAUUAUGCUUCUUAGGGUUAAUCGACAAAGCCUCCUCUAGCUUCGAAAUAGCAUCUAUUCACAAUUAAUUUUUAGUAACCAAGAAAAUUAAUAUUUGAAUUACUAAUGAAUGAAAUUAAAUUUAUUAUGUGCAUAUAUAUUAUGAGAACCUUGAAUCAUUUUCUGUGAAUCUGGAACGCUUUGAAAUUGACACAACUCAAGUAAAGCUCCAGCCCAUCUUAUUAAGUUCUGCAAACAAUAAAUAUAAAUUAGCCAAAAAUCAAUUUUAAUUGAAAAAAAAAGAUGAAGAAGAAUAAGAGAAAAACGGAUCAACAGAAGGAGGAAGCCAACAUCGGCAUCGAGAGGAUUGGAAGCAUAAGUAGCUUCGGAAAUUUUACAAGCUUGCUCGAAAAAGUGCAGCCUAUCAAGCUCAAUCGACGAUUCCAUGGCUGCUCGUUCUAACUUCUUCUUCUUCUUCUUUUAUCAGGUUUGAUAUUUCUUAUAUAAAUAGCUUGAAGAUAAAAAAAAAAAGAUAAAAUAAAACCGGAGAGAGUCCGGUGAAGGGAGUAAAAAAGCAGCAAAUACCUAAAAACGAGCAACAAAGAUAAUCUCACUCUCCAUUUGCUUUGCUUCUAGCUUUAUUGUUCAAUUCAAGAGUUACUGCUAUUGAUGAGGGUGGUUAAGAAGAAGAGGAGCUUAAAGUAGCAAAAGCGGCAGAGAGAAAGGGUGUUUUGAGGAUGCCGAUUUUAGGGGGGAAAAUUAGGAGUUUGAGGGAGGAAUUUGGGGAUAAAAAGGCGCAAUUUUUUAAGUAAAAUAAUUUUUGCUUAUCUUUUAAGGUAUUUUUCAUAAAAACGCCACUAAUCUCCCUUUUAUAUCUUUUUUUUUUGUUAUCAAUGUUUUUAUUUAUUUAUCAAUUUUUUUAGGUCUAAUAUUUAAAUACAUCAAAUAGUUUAGAUUAAAUAUUUUUGAAAAUAAAAGUAUUAAUUAGUUGUAUAAAAUUUCAUCAUUUAACAAAUCUCAAGUAAACCUUAAAUCCUAACCAUUUAAUAUAUAUAAAGUUUAUCUAUUAUCUCUUAAAUAAUUUAAACUAUAAUCAUAAUUUUAAUAUAUUAAAAUUUAUAUUAUCUCUUUUACAAUUAUAUAAGAAAUUAUUUAAUACAUAAAUUAAAAAACACUAAUUAAUCUAAACCCUAAACUCUUGAUCUCUAAUCCAUAAACCCUAAAAUCUUAAAAUAUAACCCAUUAACCCUGAACCCUUAACCCCCAAAACUUAAACCCUAAACUAUAAUAAUAAUUAAUUCAAUAUUUUAAAAUUAAUAUUAUCUCUUUUACAAUUAUAUAAGAAAAUAUUUAUCAUAUAAAUUAAUAAACACUAAUUAAUCUAAACCCUAAACUCUUAAUCUCUAAUUCUUAAACCCUAAAUCCUAAAACAUAAACAUUUAACCCUAGACCCCUAACCCCUAACCCUUAACCUUAAUCCCCAACCCUUAAAUCAUGAUCCCUAAACCCAUAAUCCAUAAACCUUAAAAUAGUAACUCAUAAACCUUAAACCCUUAACCAUAUGCCCUAAACUGUAAACCCUAAACUAUAAUGAUAAUUAUUUUAAUAUUUUAAAAUUAAUACUAUCUUUUUUACAAUUAUAUAAGAAAAUAUUUAUCAUAUAAAUUAAAAAACAAUCAGCCAUAUGCCAAAAUUCUUUAAAAUUAUUUUAAAUAAUAGUAUAUUAAUUUUUUUUCAUUUUUAACAAAUAUUUUCUAUGUUUUUACUUUCAAAUUUUUUCUCGUGUCAUUAUUUUUUCUGAAGAAUUUUGUAACACCUCCUAACCCCAAACCGUUAUUGAAACGAGAUUACGAGGCAUUCCCGGACAUAUCAGACAACUUACGAAUAAUUUACAAUUAAUAUAACUUUCAUAGUAUAAUAUAAUAAUUAAGUCCCUAUCUUGAACUCUCGAAGUUAAACACGUAUUAAAAGUUGAAUGGGACUUGUUCGAGUAUUCCAAAAUUUAUAUAUUUAUUAUUAUUUUUUUAUAAAAAUUUAGGCAACAUUUUUGCUUAUUUUUACCUAAACCUCCUGCAAAUUCAAACCAAAACAACCAAUACCAAUAUUUCACAUUCAUAUAACUAAUAUUUAUAUCAUUAACAUAAUUUUAACUUAAUAACUAUCAUAGCAUCAUUCAAAAUUGAUUAUAAACUUCAUUCAUUUAACAACUUAAUGUUCAUGUAUCAAAAUAUCAUGUACUUUCCUUACCAUAUCAUUUAACCAUCUAAAUCUUAUAAUUCAUCAUUCACUACUCAAAGCAAUAUACAUAUUCAAGUGAUUAAACAACACCUAUGUACAUGCCACCUUUACCCAAAAGAAAAAUAUACAUCACCAAGUUUGUGUUGGAGUCGGGAUUGUUCUGGAUGCUGAGCCGGGACAAUUGACUUCUACUAACCUGCGCACGGAAACAACCGUACGCUGAGUAUGGAUAUACUCAGUGGUAUUAAUAUAAAUCAAGACUAUUUAACAUUAAUAAAUUACAAACAUCAACCAUAAAUUUUAUAAUUAUUUAAACUACUUUUAUAUAUACUUAUUUUUCUUCAUAAAUCUUAAAUUCAUAAUUCAUUUUUCUCAUACUAACUCAAUUCAUAAUUUAAUUCAUACAUUCUUUCUCGUACUUUUCAAUAGUGCUAAAACAAAUAAUCUCAUUUUCAAAAUUUCAUUUCAAUUAUUUACCCUAUUAACAAAGCUCGGACUAUGACAGAUACGCGGAUUUCCACCCAAACAUACCAGAAUAUCCAACCCAAACACACUCGGAAUAUUGUAAAUCCUCCAUAACACACCGGUAUAAUAUAUCCUCCCAAACACACCAAUAAGGCAUUAAAUGCCUAUUCGGAUAAACCGAAGUAUAUAAUGACAGAAACAUCUUCUCGGCCGAACUACAAUCUCUUCAUCACAUCACAAAUCCAAUGGCAUGCCAUUUGUAUCGAAUCUAGUCCGACAAGUUAAUAGGGUAUUAUUUUACUUUUUCUAUUUUCUAAUUUCAAUUUCAUUUACACAAAAAUUUUCAAUACUCAUUCAAUUCAAAUAUCUAUUAUCUUAAUUCAUAUACAAAUUAAUUUUCACACAAGUGUAUACCAUCAACACCAUACAUUUGUCACAAUUUAUUUAUUUUCAAUCAAUACACUUUUCAAAUAAUCACAUAUUCCAUAAUUCACUUAUUCAAUUCAAUUUGAUUCAAUUUAUAUCACUUUCAUUUUCACUCAAUAUUCAUAUCAAUUUCACAUACUUACCUCAACUCUUAUUUACCAUACAUAACAAUUAAAAUUUCAGCAAUCAAUAAUAAUUAAAAUUCGAAUUAUAGUAAUACACACCGUAAUUCUCCCGUUUUAGUCCUCGAUGACUUUCUCCUUUCCUUUCGAUGCUGAUACUUCAGGUUCUUUGUUGGCUACGAAAAUAAUAGUAAUUUACAUUAUUGUUUACACAUUAAUUAUAAUAAAUAAUUGAAUUUCUAAACAACUCCUACCUUAUUCCCAAUUUAAUCCUAACUAAACUUAAUUAUUUUCUUAAUCCAAUUCACUCUCUUUUUCUAUUCAAAUUUUGUCUAAACUUAUAUUUAACUAUAAAUUUCCAGCAUAUUUCCCUAAUUUCGAAAUUUCUUCAAUUUAGUCCUACAACGUAAAACUUAUAGCCUAGUUUACAAUUUAAUCCCUUAAUCAAUUCUACUUAGAAUUCAUUCAAUUAAAUCCCUAAUUCCAUAAUUUUUCCAACAUGAACGCUACUUGGAAACAUAUGAACUCUUGAACUAUCAACUUAAUUUCAUCAAAAUCUUGUUUCAAAGCUCCUAAAACAUCAAAUUAACUAAAAAGGACUUAAUUAACUUACCAAAUUAACCCCAACCUUCAAAUCCUUAGUUUUCUCUUUUAUUUUUCUUUCCCUUUUUCUUUCUCUUUUUCUCCCCUGCUUCCCGUUUUCAAUUCUGUUUCUAUUCCUUUUGUUUCUUUAUUUCUUUAAUUCUUUUAUACUUUAUUAUUUUAUCAAUAUAAUAUAAUAUUAAUAUCAUAUAUUAAAAUAUCUUUACUUUAAUAUUAAGUAAAUUAAUAAUUAUAUAACAAGUGUACAUAUUUAUAUUAUUACAAAUGUCAUUAUCUAAUUUGCUUAUUAAAUAAAAAUCUCAUGAUUUAAUUAAUACAAUUAAUAAUUAUAAAAUAUCUUUAUACUUAAAUUAUAAGUAAUUAAAUAUUUAAAUUACAAAUGUACCAAUAAAAUUCUUACACAUGUAUAUUUUAUUACCAUACAAUUGUCUUCUAUUUAAUUUAUUUAUAAUAUAUUAUCAAUUAAAUAAUCAUAACAAUUUAAUAUAAAACCAUAAUAAUAAUCAUUAUAAUAUAUAAAACCUAAAAAAAAUCUUUGAUUUUAUUUCACCAAUAUGCCACCUCAUUUGUAGUCAAUGGCUUAAUUGCCAUUUUAAUCAUUUUUAUUUUCUAUUGCUUUAUAAUUAAACUUUUACCCUUUAUUCAAUUUAAUCCUUUUUAUUACUUACUCUAAAUUAAGCUAAAUUCACUUAAUUAGAUCCUAAUUAGACACACCACUAGGCUCAUAAAUAUUUUUAAUAAUUAUUUUCGAACUUAUUUCACUAAGACGGAGGCCCUAUAACUCACUUUUCCGGUGCCCGUGAAUUUCAGGUCAUUACAAAUUUAAAUAUUCAAUUAAAAAUAAAUUGUAUUUUAAUACAAAUAAACCAAUUAAAUUAUAAAUAGACAGAUGAAACAUUUUUUUAAAAAAAAUGCUGCUAAAGCCACUAAAAGCUCAAUAUAAAAUGAAAAACUUUUUGCGGCGUUAAAGAUCAAGUAUUAGCGCCAUUAAAAGCUCAAGACAAAGUUGUGUAAAGUUUUUAGCGGCGUUUUUUCAAAGCGCCGCUAAAAAUCGAGCAUUAGCGGCGUUUUUUAAAAAGUGCCACUAAUGCUACUGAAGCUUAGUUAAAACGACGGUGUUGAGCAUAAGUUUUGCGGCGUUUUUUUAAAAAGCGCCGCUAAAAACGCCGCUAAAAGUCAAGGCUUAUAAGAAUCAAUCUCUAAUAUGAUAUAAAUAAAUUUUCAUCAAAGCAUAUAGUCCAACUUGUGAUUUGAAUUAGUAAAACCAUAUGGUUAUUGAUAAGUUUAAUUGUAUAUUGAUUUAUCAUAUUGAAAAGCAAAUCAUAAACACAAAUACAAAAUAACGCUUUAUUAAAAAUAUAAUCGAAAGUUGAAUAUCACCACCUUAAUCUUUGAUGUUUGCACUUCUAUAUUGAUUACGUUGGUUUUUUCUUUCAAAUGUAUUUGAGUCAAAAUUUUAAAAUCAAAGCAUCCUUAAUAAUCAAAGUUUUCAAAAUUAAAUUAGUAGUUGAAUUGAUUGGACUACUGAUUUAUCAGUUCUUCAAUAAACUCAUACAGUUUAAUUAAAUAAAUUGUUAAAAAACUCAUAAAAAUAAGAAAAAAAUUAAAAAAAUUUAUUCAACCUAUUUUUGACUCAAUUUAACUUGUAGGUAGUGAUUCAAAUUCUUUUUAUCUUAAUAUUUCAAUCUAUUCUAGAUUUCACCGAUAGAUUUGACCCGAUUUUAAUCACAAUGAAAAAGGGCAAUGAGAAAAAGGAUUUUGUCAUCGUGACAUCAAUUGUUAGUGAAAUGACGUGGAGUAUUAUUUUUUCUAAUUUUUUGUUAAACCGACGUGGUAUUAAGCCGCAUUUGCGUGGCUGAGUAAAAUCUUUGGCGGAGAAUAAAAUGAAAUCACGAGAACUCCAAAUUUCUCUCCUUUAGGACGCUAUGACUGAAUGAAAAACCUACACGUGGUAAGUGCUGGGCCCAGGGAACUGGACCACCGGCUUAAUGUCGGCGUCGCCUUUGGACCAAAGUCCUUGCAUAUCAUAUACUGCCAAAACUCAACUUUUUAUUAUUUCCUCAUUUAUUAUUUCCUAACUCUACAUAAUAAUUACCCCAUUUUUAGCUGUCUUUAGCUAUAACGAGUAUUUCUUUUCAAAAUUACAUCAGUACCCAUUUUCUAAAAUAUUAUAUCACUAUUUUUAAUUCCUAAUUUAUUUUCACAGAGCAUUAAUGACUUCCAUAACGAAUGACGGAGUAAGAAAAUUGUAUAUUUUUGUCAAUUUUAAUAAUUUAUAUUUUUAUAAUUUUUAAAAGAUUAAAUUAAAUUUUUAUUAUUUUUUGAGAAUUUAAGUAAAAUUUUAUAAAUUAUAGAUGACAUAAAUAAAAUUUUUUAUAUUUUAGGGGAGGCGGAGCCCUUACUAACCCCCUUGACUCGGUCACCGAAAUCAUGCAAUGUGAUGUAUUAUACAAUACAAAUAUAGAUUUAUUAAUGAGAUAUGGUCUUAAGAUUUACCCAUACAAUUACUAAAAUAAAAGCUAAUAAUAAUAUUGAUAUUUGAAGUAUUGGUUCAUACAAACAUAGCCGUAAAUUCAGUAUAAAAAAGUCGUUAACUUCAAGUUUUGGUUGAAAUUAAAUUUAAUAUUUUUUGAAAAAAAAUAAAGCAAAUGGGAGAGAGAAUAGAAGGAAGAUAUGGGGAGUGUUAUAAGAUUGAGUUGUGAGUGUGAAGCGAUAAUUAGGUUUUGGUCACAUGCAAAUACAUCAAAUAGUCCCAGUGGUAUCCAUAUAUAUGUGGGCAUUGGAGGGCCGUCUUUCACGAGCCUUGUUAUUGAUAAAAACCUUUUCAAACCUCAUCUUUACGAAUUUAAUGCUCCACAUCAACCCCCGGAUCCCACUUUUGAUGAUGCUGAUGCCUACCUUUCUAGUCUCAUGAAAUUUUCCUCAUCAUGUUUGGACAUGGUUUUGUUUAAUGAGUUGUUAAUGUUUAUAUUUAUAAAUAAAGUCUUUUUAUCGUUACAACAACAACCAUGAAAAUCAAAUUAAAAUUAAAAUUUAAUCCAUCGUUAAAAUUUAUGUUUUAAAUUUAUAACAUCAACAAAAAUGGGAAAGUUUUUAAAACUUAGUUUAGAGUUUUAUCAGUGUUUAAUUAGCAAAGAUAACAUGUAUUGCAGGUGUACUAUACUGGGAGGUUCAUAGAAUGGAACUUUGAGGCCGAAAAAUCUGACUCAGAGAGAGAGAGAGCAGUAAUGGCAUUUGGAUUUUGUGCUGCAGAAGAAAUUUAAUAUAAAUAAAUAAAGAUAAAAAGGAAGAGAGAGAAAAAAAUAAAAUUGUGGCAGAGAAAUGAGGAGCUGACUCUGUUUUUGUAAUAAAUUCAAAAAGUAGGUUUUUAGGGGCAAUGAAAAGUACGGACACGUGUUGGGACCCACGCGUAAAGUCAAAUUUCAGAUUUUUUUUACUUUAUCCAUCAGAUAUGUCGCAAACGCAGUAUGACCCUUUCAAUCUUCUUUUAUCUGUUCUCUCAUGUUUGAUGUUCUAAAGUUAAAGUAAAAUAUUAAAUAAGGGAAAUUAUUAAUUUCCCAUAAAUAAAUAUUAAAAAAUAAAUAUUGUAUAAUACUAUAAAUAGAAGAGGAAUUCACAUACAAUAUUAUAUUAUAUUAUACAACUUUACCUAAAUUAAAAUUUUCUAAUUAUCAAAAAUUAUAUAAAAAGUUUUCAAUUGUUAGAAUAAAUACACAAAAAAAAAAUAACAUUAGACCCAUCAUGAUAGUAGGGCAGGUGUGGGUAUAACUUUGUACUUAUCUCACAUAAUAUAAUAAGCAAAUUUAAAAUGUAACAGUACUCAAUGUUUUCUACACUUUUUUUCAUAAGAAAUAACUAUAUUUAUUUAACUAAUAUUUAUAAGUAUAUAGAGGAUUAUAUGGGUCUGGGACACGAGAGUGGUGGGACGGAGAUGAUUUUAGGUAUAUGAGGCAAGGAUGGGAUAAAGCUCCUCACACACACCCCGCCCAAUAGAUAAUGCAUUUAGUAUGCAUUUUAGUAUUAGUUUUAUAAAUUGGUAAGUAAAAGAAAAAAAAAAGAUAUUGCAUUAAAUAUAUAUAUUAUUAUUAGUUGGAGCUGGACUCACUGUGCGGCUAUAAAUACACCAAAGCUUGAACCAGAGACAUCUCUCAACACAGCUAAAUUCUAAUCCCCUCCUUUGAAACCCCCAAAAUAAAUUAUUUUUCUUCAUUUCCACGCCAAAAAUCUGGGUUUUUCUUUUCUCACAUAGCAUUUGCCCCUUGGCUUUAAAGUUGAACCCAACAUUUCUUCAUCGUUAAACUAUCCAUAUUACCUUUGGUCUCUGUUUCAAACAAAGAAUCAUACCUUUCUUUCCAAGUUGGAAUCUCCUUUGAGGGACCUUUUUUUUUUUUUUUAAAGGCUCCUCUGUUUUUCCUUAAUCCACUUUUCUAUUGCCUUUUGGUUUUUGUUUUAUUAAGGAAAAAGGGGCAGUUUUUAAAGUCCUGUUUCCUUUCUGAAUCUUCCCUCCCGCACUCUGUUUUCAAAAAAAAAAAAUGCAAGAAAUCUAUCAUCCUUUUGGAUUCAAAAAUGGCGUUGAUAUUGGAUCUUCGUUAUCACAAAUCAUAUUAUCAGGAGGCUCUAAUACUUUAGAUUCAGUGUUCUCUCAUUGUGCAUCACUACCAACAGCCAUUGCCACCAACUCUGUUUACGAGCCAUUAGGUUCAUCAGUCUAUCUCCGCCAGAGGGAUCUCCUUCAGAAUUUCUGCCAUGAAAACAAAGGGAACCCUUCAUUUUCAGGAAAAUCCGUAAAGGGUAGUCUUCAAAACUGCCCAAAUCCUCCAUCGACGACCGAUUACUUGAGCCCACCUCAAAAGAAGAAGCUUUACAGGGGCGUGAGGCAAAGGCAAUGGGGCAAAUGGGUGGCUGAAAUUAGACUCCCGCAAAACAGAGUCCGAGUCUGGUUAGGCACUUAUGACACAGCUGAAACCGCCGCUUAUGCCUAUGAUAGAGCCGCGUAUAAGCUUAGAGGCGAAUACGCGAGGUUGAAUUUCCCGAAUACCAAAGAUCCAAGUGAGUUGGGGUUUGCAGAUUGUGCUAAAUUGAAUGCUUUAAAGAAUACAGUGGAUGCUAAGGUUCAAGCCAUUUGUCAAAAGGUGAAAAGAGAGAAAGCUAGAAAGAAAGCCAAAAGAUCACCUGAAGCUGAAAAGCAAGCCAAAGUUCCAGAGCCAUGUUCAUCGUCUUCGUUGUUAUCGCCGGCGGUUUUUAGCGAAAAUUUAAGCAACGAAUGGCCGUCGCCACCGGUGUCCGAAGAUGGGUUUUGGAGAUGUGCGAAUUCUCCGUCCUCUGUUUUGAAUGACUAUCCGUCGAUGAUUACAGAGGAACCCAUGUUUGAAGACUGUUCGCUUUCAAGAAUGCUGUCUUUUGAUGCUGAUUUGUUAUGGGAGAUUCUUGCUAAUUAGGAUAAUAAUUAUGUUUCAUUUUUUUCCUCAAAAAAUCAAAUAUCUUCAGCAGAUAGCUGUUAUUUUUUGUUAGGUACUUACUAACAAUGGUGUCAUGCUGUUUAUGUGGUCUGGUUUAGGGUUUUGGUUUUUAGUCUUCUCUUUUUCCUUUCUUUCGAUUUUGAGGCAUUUUCUGAGUUUGGAUUUUGUUUUUCUUCUCAAUGAAACAUAUUAAUAGUUAACCAUGUUCCAUGAGCUUCUAUUACAUUAAAAAAAUGUUACCCAAUUAUUAUAAUUUUAUAAUAUUUUGUAUAAUUAUAUAAUUACAUAAACUAUAAUUCAAUUAUAUAAAAUAUUUAAAAAAUAUUACUAUUUUGGGAAUAUUUUAUAAAAAUACAUAAACCAAUAUUUAAUUAUACAUAAAAUUUACAUUAAAAAUCAGUUAUUGUUUGGACACCACUAUUAUUGAUGUUCCAUUUGGAUUUUACUGUAUCAGUGCAGAAGUUUAUUUUUUUCUUUUCUAAAAAUUUCACAAUUACAAAGUUAAUACAAUUACACGUAUAAGAUAUUUAUAGAUACAAAUAAAUGUUUGUGUUGAAAUUAUAAUUAAUACAAUGUAAAGCUAAUCCAAAAUCAAACAAAAACUGAACUAAUAUGGAAGGAAGGGGAUAAAAUUCACACAAAACAUAAGUAUAUGACAAACGAGAGACCGUAUAUCAUUAUUACAAAUGGUGGAACUCGAGCUCAAAUUUUUAUGGACUUGACCAUAUUGGUUGAACAUAUUAAUAAUCUCCGACUCUGCAAUCCCUUUAGAUCCAUCAAAACAAAAUGCCAAUAGAAAAUGAGUAUCGGGUUCGACAGAGUUGCCUGAAAACACAAAAGAUCAAGUUAGAGCCUGCGUUUAAUUAUUCUUCUUCAUCUUUUUUAUGAUUCUAUGUAUGAAGUAGGAAAUCUGCUCCAAAACCACAUUUUUGCCAAUAAACUGUUUUUACUGCAAAUUUAUCUACAGCCAAGCAAGUUUUUAUGAAACACAAGCUGACUAAACAUUACCUGAGAAUGUUUAUUAAGAAAAAAACAAUGAAAUAAUGAAAAAUAAUCCAUAAAUGCAAAACCCCGAUGAACAUAAUCGAAUUAUAAAUAACAGGGAAUUCCUCUAGGCUGCCCUCUGGACUCUGACACUUCUCGAGAUUAUUUCCUUUAGAUCAUCGCAGCGGCUGCGGUGAUAAUCGAUCCACAAGCACAGCUGCCUAAUGGCUUCUCUCUUCUCCUCUCCUAGUCCGAGCAUGCCUUGAUCUUUCUCUUUCAUUGCUGUCUCCAAGACUUCCAUCUUCUUCUCCAGCUGAUUCAUGGCUUUUAGCAGAUUCUCCUUCUCCGCUUCUUCCUUGUUUGCCUUAAUCCGUAGCUUCUCCACUUGAUCUAACAGAGUAGAUUCUUGUUCUUUCUGAUAGUUCAGCUGCUCAAUCAAGUUUGUCACUUCAUUCCUUAGUCGCUUCUUUUCGCUCUUUGUCUCUUCGACCCAAUGUUUUGCAAUCCUUAGCUCUUUCGAUGUUUCUUCAAUGCAUUCCUUGUAGCUGCUACACUUCUCUUCAAAUUUCUGGAUGACUGCUUCAAAUCCAGCCAAGGUAAUAUUCACAUUCUCGGAGAUAUCAGUGAUCAUCUUGCAAUAGGCUUCGUUGUUGGUAGCAAUUAUUCCAGAUAAUACUGAGAUCCUUUCUUCAAGCAGUCUUUGUUCUUCCAGGUACCUUGCUUCUGCUUUUCUGUAGCUUUCUUCGUUCUCAGUUAGUAACUGUUCUGUGACUCUAAGUUUUUGGUUUGACAACCGGAGCUUAACUUCAAUUGUUCGGACAUUAUCAACCAAAGUACUGAGCUCAUCUCCUUUCAUUUCUAUAUCUCUUUUCAAGUCUUCAAUAGUUUCCUCCAACUCAGCAACAAUUUCAUCCUUAGAUUGAAUGUUUGUAUUGUGCUCUCCUGCCAUUUCUUGCAUCUUGCGUUCUGUGAUUUCGAUAAUUGCCUUGCACUCCUGAAAUGAAGUUUCAAGUUGUUUGUAUUCAUUGCUUAGCUUGUUAAAUGCAUCUUCUUGUUCUUUUAGCAUUCUCUGAUGAUCCGUGAUCUGGUUUAUGAGGUCAUUUUUCUCAUCUUCCUUUGCUUCCAAAUCUCUUUGAAGGUGCUCAACCAUUUGUUUCAGAUCAGCUGCUAUCUGACUUUUAGAUUCGAGGUUUGUACGGAAUUCUUCAGACAUUUCUUCUGUCUUCCUUUCAGCAAUUUCAAGACUUGCCUUGCACUCUUGGUAUAAGCCUUCAACCUCUUUGUAUUCCUCGCCCAACUUCUUAUAUGCCUCCCCCUGUUCUGUUAGCAUUCUCUGCUGAUUGCUAAUUUGGCUUUCUAGUUCGGAUUUCUCGUGCUCAAACUCAGUUUUCACUCUCUCAAGCUGCAACUCCAGUUCAUUUCUCUGGUUCUGUAUUGGAUCCAACUGCUGCUGCAAAUCGUUGACCUGUGCCACUAGGGCUGUUAAUUGGGAGGAAGUUUCAUUCUCCAAGCUGGCAUGCUUUUCUUGGAGAGCAUUGAACUCGAGCCCUCUUUCUGCCAACGUUUUCUCUAAUUCAAUGGUUUGACCCUGUAAACUCACUAUUCCCUCCCUCAAUUGACCAUUCUCUUCGAUUUUAGUUCUCAAGUCCUCUUCCAGUUCACCUUUCUGGUUCUUUAGAGAAAUGACCUCCAAUUCUAGUUCCUUCAUUUGUGCCAACAAACCCUCUUUCUCCUGCAGAACUCUCUGUUGAUCCUCAGUCUUGCUUACUAUCUCUUCUUUUGCCUUUUCUAUCUCAAUCAUAUGAUCUGAAAUAGCUUGUGUUUUACUCUCAAGCUGAACUUCAAGUUCAGCUUUCUGGCUAUGCAUGGAUCCCAGUUUCUGCUGCAAUGUAUUUAUUUCAUCCAUCAAGCUCUUGACUUGGUUCGAUGCUUCAUCGCCUUUAACUACAAUAUGUUCUUCCAACUGAGCUUUCUCAGUCCGCAGCAACUCCAUGUCUCCUAGCAGAUUGUUAAUCUGCACUGUCAAAUUCUCCACUCUAGAUAAUGAUUCUGUCUCAUUAUCCUCAAACUUCUUUGUGAGAGUAAAAAGUUCUUCUUGUCUCGUCUUUAAUACCCUCUCGAGUUCUGAAAUUUGAUAUUGCAGUCCCAUAUUUUCCUCCCUCAGCUGACCAUUCUCUUCGAUUUUAGUUCUCAGGUCCUCUUCCAGUUCACCUUUCUGGUUCUUUAGAGAAAUGACCUCAAAUUCUAGUUCCUUCAUUUGUGCCAACAAACCCUCUUUCUCCUGCAGAACUCUCUGUUGAUCCUCGGUCUUGCUGACUAUCUCUUCUUUUGCCUUCUCUAUCUCAAUCACAUGAUUGGAAAUAGCUUGAGUUUUUCUCUCAAGCUGAACUUCCAGUUCUGCUUGAUGGCUAUGCAGGGACUCCAGCUCCUGCUGCAAAGUAUUUAUCUGAUCCAUCAAGCCCUUGACCUGAGUUGAUGCUUCAUCGCCUUUCACUACAAUAUGUUCUUCCAACUGAGCUUUCUGGGUGCGUAGGGACUCCAUGUCUGCUAGCAAAUUGUUGAUCUGCACUGUUAAAUUCUCCACUCUAGAUAGCGAUUCUUUCUCGUUGUCCUCAAACUUCUCUGUGAGUGUCAAAAGUUCUUCUUGUCUCUGUUUUGAUAUCAUCUCGAGUUCGGAAAUUUGGGAUUGCAGUCCUAAACUUUCCUCCCUCAGCUGACCAUUCUCUUUGAUUUUAGUUCGCAAAUCCUCUUCCAACUCACCUUUCUGAUUCUUUAAAGAAUUGACAUCAAAUUCUAGUUCCUUCAUUUGUGCCAGCAAACCCUCUUUCUCCUGCAGAACUCUUUGUUGAUCCUCGGUCUUGCUUGCUAUCUCUUCUUUUGCAUUUUCUAUCUUGAUCACAUGAUCGGAAAUAGCUCGAGUUUUACUCUCAAGCUGAACUUCAAGUUCUGCUUUCUGACUCUGCAGGGACUCCAGCUCCUGCUGCAAAUUUUUUAUCUGAUCCAUCAAGCUCUUGACUUGAGUCGAUGCUUCAUCAUCUUUUACUGCAAUAUGUUCUUCCAACUGAGCUUUCUGGGUGCGUAGUGACUCCAUGUCUGCUAGCAGAUUGUUGAUCUGCACUGUCAGAUUCUCCACUCUAGACAAUGAUUCUUUCUCAUUAUCCUCAAAUUUCUUUGCGAGAGUCAAAAGUUCUUCUUCUCUCUUUUUUGACAUCAUCUCAAGUUCUGAAAUUUGGGAUUGCAGUCCUAUAUUUACCUCUCCCAGCUGUUUUGCUUCACUUGCUUUGUUCUCUAUCUGCAGCUCCUGUUCUCUGUUUGUUGCUCGCAAUUGUUCCAACUCGAGUUCCAAGCUUGUCACUUGUGCCUCUAAUUCUUUUAACUGGGCAGAUGAUUGAUUCCCAUGCACCUCAUGCAACUCUUUGAGCGUCAAAAGUUCCCUUUCUUUGUCACCCAGUUCCUCUUUUGACUGACUCAUUUCAGCCAUGAGUUGUUGUAUGGUGCCCUGGGCCAGCUCAAUCUCAUUUGAAACCUCAGAAAGCUUCAAGUUCAGGGAGUUAUUCUCUUCCACUGUAGCAUUAAGACUGCGGCCCAAUUCUGAAACUCGCUGUUCUGAAGAUUCCAGCUUUUGCUGCAUAUCGGAAACUUCCCCCCUAAAAGUGUCUAGCUCUUGCUUUAAACUUAUAUUUUCCUCCUUCAGCAAACUAACUUCUCUUCUAAGAUCUUCUGUAAACUUCUCACCAUCUUCAAUUCUUUUAACAGCAGUUUCUUUCUCUAGAAUUAAGUUAUUGUUUUCUUGAUACAGCUCCUCGGACCUUUGGUUCAACUCAGCUUCCAUCUUGGCAGCAGCGUCCAGCUUAUGCGUCAGCUCUUCAUUCUCAACCACAAGUUUUGAUUUUUCACUCUCUGAUCUUUCAGAAUCAAGCUUCAGAUUUGUGAUGAUUUCCUCUGCUUCUCGCACCUUGCUUAAAGAAGCAAGAUAAUCUGAAUUCAAUGCAUCUUUUUCUUCUCUUGUAUCUGUCAGCUUCUGCUUAAGUUCAGCAAUUUCCAGAUUUGCUGUUUCAAGUUCUUGUUUAACGCCUUCUGCUAUUGCCUGAAGUUCUCUUUCCAAGUGCCCAUUUUUACUGCCACCAUCUUUUGAAUAACCAUCAGAGUCGGAAUCUGAGCUUGAUGAAGAGGAUGCAUCUUUUUCUCCUUUGCCAUGAGCUUUUUUCCUCAGCUCCCCUGUGAGAUGAUCAUAGUGUGCAUAGAGGUUUUGGUAGUGUUUGUGGAAAUCCUCGAUUAACUGAACAAGUGGUUCCUUCUUGGAGUUAGCUAUAGGAACUCCAUUUUCUUCAACUUCUUCAUCGUUAAUGAGCUUCAAUAUUGUUGCCACCUUUUCAUCAAUUUCUGAAACGGAGGGAGUUUACAUUUGAGAUUAAAACAUGAAGCAAAUCAUAAGUGGAAAAUAAUGUUAAGCUGAUUGUCGCAAUUCAGAACACCCGGAACCAAAUUCUUUGUCACUCGGACUCACAUGUGAGUGCCAAUACGGGUAAUUGGAGGGGCCUUGAAGGGUCAUAUCCUCAUACCAAUGUUCAAAUAUGUGUUGAACUUAAGUGUCCAACAUAGACACUUGAAGAAAAACGAAAAGUCGGAGCAACGUAGUUCAAAGUUAUAGGUAAAAUAGAAAAUUGCACCCCAAAGAAAUCAGUGAAUGUAGAAAAUUACCUAUUUUACUUCCUUUAAGCUCUUCAUCCUUUUCUGGAUCAACAUGAUGCCCAAAGAAGGACUUUAUAGACUCCCUGAACCGAUGCUUAGUCAUCUCUUCAGAUUAUCAACUAAUUUUGCUCAGCAAGUCGGCAUGAAGAUAAGGCAAUCUAUAUCUCAAGAAUAAAAGCUGAAAAAACAGAAUUAUGGACACUUUGUAAUUAGUUUCAAACUAUGUCAACCACAAACAAUACAGCAUAGUCUUAGCCACAGAUUGGAUCGAUUGCAAAAGUAUAAAGACUAGUAAACGGACGGCUUAUUUCGGGUAUUAAUGGUCCCAAACUCACUCCCCGACGCUAGAAAACGAUCGGCCUUCGUCUAUAAGCAGACAACGAAACAAGUGACAAACUACACUGAAUAAGAAAAUCUUACUUUUGUUGAAUAAGUGCUACUUUUCUAAUAAAAAUAAGAUAAAAUCAAAAUCAAACCCUUUGCCUUUUUGGCAACCCUGCUUAAGAUACAAAAUCUCAAAGCAUCUUUUUUCAGCUUAAGAUGACAAAAUCCCAGGCCCUGUUUCUUACUGACAACCCAGCUUAAAAUGACAAGAUCUCAAUUUUUUUUUUCUAACAUGGGUCCACAAAUCAAGGCAUGCAUCUUCAUUAAUAUUUAGUAUUUACUACCUUCAUUAUUAAGCAUUAUCAAAGUCGAAAAAGAACUGACUAGACUAGCUGGUCGAAUUGGCACAGCCGAGAAUCGAAGGGUUAUUCGAUUAGAUGAUUUACAUGAGACUGGAUGAUGAUUGAACCAGUUUAACUGGAAAAAGAACCGGUGAAAAAUCAAGAGAAACCCAUUUCUAUUUUUUUUCUCUAUUUUUUAAGUUAUGGCACGUGAACCCAUAAGCUCAUAGAUUCCAAAAAAAAAAAAACCUACCAUUAAGCCAAAAUGCAUGUUCUUAUAAAUCAUUUACUAGAUUUAUCAGUUAUUUAUUUUCUAACAUUUAAAAUUGUUUUAAUUAUUUAUUUAAGGAGUAAAUGGUCAGAAAAGUGGCAGAUAUGAUUCUAGCGUGGCGACACCUCAUCAUCACAUUCAUUGGGGAUGGUAUCCAGCCACGCCAGAAACAGAGAAAGCUGAUUUGGAAUCGAAACGAUAAAAGACAGCUAUUAUUUGAAAGAAAAAAGGUGAGCUGUUCUUUUUGUUCAUUCAUUUUCUUUUUCCAUUUCAUUCAAAUAAGUCAAGGCCGGUCAGUCAAUCAUCACUCAAUUACUCAAAAACCUUUUUUCUUUUAUUAUAUAUGAAAAACGAAAUAUUAUUAAACAAAAAAGAUAAUAAAUAAAAAAGCAGUAAAGGAAUAGCAUAUCAGUAGAAAUUUGGCAUUACUGUCACCUGAGAUUCUGAGACUUUCUCGUAACUUUCCUUUCUCAAUCUUGUAUCGGAAGCUAUGCUAUAUUUCUGCAAAAACAAAUAAAUAUAUCUUUUGUUUAAAUCGAAACAGUAAAAAUAUUGAAUUUAAGAUAAAUAACCGAAUCAACACUGAUACAAGUGAUAAGUUCAAAACGAAGAAAAUCUGAAAAUUUUUAAAGAAGAUUUUUUUACUUGCAUUGGAAAUCAUGAUCUAAUAAAAUUUCAGCUCUAGUCAUUUUCAAUUAUGGAGUUCGAAAAUCAAAACCACAAGGAAGUUCAAGGGAACAAAAAAGAUAUAAGUUAGUUUUAUGUUAAUGAAAACAAGUGAAUCGAAGUUAAAAUUCAAUCAUAAAAUCAUAAAAGGGAAAUAACUGAACUAAAAUUCCACUAUCAAACUGAUCGAAGGUUUUUUGAUUGAAAACUGAAGUCCAAGUAAUCAAAAACAUGAAGCAAGUGAUGAUUAAUCAGUUGAUGAACAAAGCUUACCUUAGAAUCAGAGCUCCAAAGCUUGAUUAAGAAGAAGAAUCUGAAAAACAGAGCAAAAAAAGAAAAGAAAAAAACUGAGAGACUGAGAGAGAGUUCUGUUAUUUGAUAAAUAGAAAGAGCAUGAUGUAGCUUUUUCUAUUUUGAGGAUAUGGAAUGGAAUUUUUGGAGCCUUCUUUUAUUCUGAUUUUAAGUAACUACCCUUGCCUUUUUUAUUUUAUUUCAGUUAUGCCCUUUCAAUUUCUCGUCACCAGAGAUGAUCUGAACAAAUUUCAUUGGUGUUUCACGUUUAUUUCUUUAUUUUACUUUCUGUUCCAAUUGGCUGUCAGACAAUGAAAUUUCUCUAUUCAAGAUAGUUGGAUUCAGUUUCAGAAUAAAAGUAUACUUGAUUCAAUUAUUAUUUACUGUAUCUUUGAAAUUUAAGUGUAAUUAAUCAUAUAUUUUAUAUAAUUAUUAUAAUUAGUAGAUUUUACUAAAUUGAAUUUAAAGAUUGUAAUUGUUAUAAUUAUUACUUUUACAAGAAAAAUUAUUAUUUCCCAAAAUGUAUCCAUUAAUUAUUUCUUAAAAUAAGUCGUUUUUUUUUGAAAGGAUUUCGACACCAUUUAUAUUUAUCGAAAUUUAAUAAAAAAAAUUGACUUUUGAACUUCCAUGGAUCAAUGAGGGAUCAUAAAACCUGAAUUUCUACUCAUAGGUCCGACUUUGAACAUCAUGUCUCUCAAGUUUUGUUUUAAUACUUUGAAUGCUUUCUAAGUUUAUAUAAUAAUAAAAAGGAGAAAAAAAUAAAAAAUAAGAAAAAUGGUUAGAAUGUUAAAUGUAACUCAACCAUCACGAGAGUGGAGGUUUAAAGUCAAAUUUGGCAGUCGAAAUUUUUUUACUUGUCAUGUCUUAAGAUUUGAUGGUUAAAAUUUUAUUUUAAAAAUUGACAUUUAUGGGUGUUUAAAGAUUUCUGCACUAAGAACACGUAUUUUGGGAAAUAAUAUUUUUAUACCUAUUUUGAGAGUAACUAAUUUUUUAUAUAAUUUUAAGUACAAAAAUUUUAUAUUUUAAAAGAUAUAAUGAUAAAUUUAAUUAUUAAUAAUUAUAUUUUUUUAUCAAUUUAAUUUUUUCUAGUAAAUUUAAUCCUUAACAUUUAAAACAAAAGUUGAAUUAUAAUUUUUUAAUUAAAAUAUAAAUCAAAAUGUUAAAUUUUUUUCGAUUAAAAAAAUUUACAUCAAAUUAAAUUGAUCAAAAGUACCUAAUUUAAAACUUUUAAUGCAUCAUAAGAAAUUUCAUCGUAAACUUACAAACAUGUCUCCCAUUUUAAUAUUUUAAAUAUGGUAACUCUCAUAAUAAUAUUCAUGUAUAUUUUAUGAUAAUUUUGUAAUAUUGAACUUUUUUAUUUUUUUUAGUAUCUCAUAAUCUAUUUUAAAAAUACAUGUCAUCAAAACUUGUGCAAUACUUUUAGAGAGCAAUCCCUAAGAAAGAAGCAGAAGUGGAACUGAACCACUGCACUGCGGAGAUAUAUUUCCGCUUACGUUUCUAGUCACGAAACUUCCCGCUUUUUCACUUUUUAGCAACGUAAGCUCUUGUCCGAAUCACAAUUCCGUAACUCCCUUACCGUGAGCCAAAAUAAAAAUUUCUGUCACAUCAAAUUACUCAUAUAAAACAGAAGAUUAACAGAUCAAGGUAAAUCAAUGAAUAGAAUUUUGUCGCUUUUAUUAAGUUUAUGAAAUAAGAAUACAUUUGUUAAUGAAUAAAUGAGAUAUGUUACACCUUCAUAUAAAAUGACUAUUUUUCUUUUAAUUCCUAUUUUUGAAAUACAUGCAAAAAGGAAUCAUGUUUUUUUCUUGGUUCUACCAGAGACCAUUUCCUUGAGAUGGUCAUAGCACCUGCGGUGAUAAUCAAUUAACAGGCACAGCCCUCUAAUGGCUUUCCUCUUUUCUUCUUCCCUACCCAACAACGCUUCAUCUUUUUCUUUUGUAAUCUUCUCCAUUUCUCCAAUUCGACUCAAAAGGUCGGCUAUGGCUUUCAACAGCUUCACCUUUUCUUCUUCUUCACUCAACUUACCUUCACAUGAAAGCUUUUCUCCAAGUUCUCCAUUUUCUUGCAUUAGCUUUGAGUUUGAUUCAUUCAUUGCAUUUUUGCUUGCAUUCAUUGAAUCCCUCAACUCCCUCAGCUCAGCUUCACAACUGGCAAGCUUCUCUUUAAGCUCACCAUUUUCGUGUUCUAGCCUUGAAAUGGAUUCAGUCCAUGAAUUCUUGCCUGCCUCCAUUGAAUCCCUAGAUUUCCUCAGCUCAACUUCACAGGUAGCAAGCUUCUCUUUAAGGUGUCCAUUUUCGUGCUCUAGCCUUGAAAUGGAUUCAGUCCAUGCAUUUUUGCAUGCCUAGUAUCCCUAGAGUUCCUGUUAAGAAAUGGCUUAAAAUUGGUAGUGGAUUGUUGUUGUUGGUAGUGGGUUGUUGGUGGUAGUGGAUUAGUGGAUGGUUGUUGGUGUCCAUUUUCAACCACAAAUCUUUGCCAAAGUUUUGGACAAUUAUGUCCUUGAACUCUCUUAUAAAUAGAGAGGUUCAUUAGCCAUAUUCAUCAUCCCAAACCAAGAGAGAGCAAAGCUUGUUCUUUGAAAGCUAGGAUUUUAGCUUUCGGGUUUUCUAUAGGGGUUGAGAGUCGUGAGGUUCUCGGGUUGUGUCUUGAGUGUAAAACACUUGUAAUCUUCAUCUUGUUAUAGUGAAAUUUCUUUUCGCCUCUGCCCGUGGACGUAGGCAUUAAAGCCGAACCACGUAAAUCCUUGUGUUCACUUUAUUUUUCGUUUCGGUCAAUUUACUUGUAGUCAUAUCGGAGUUCUCGAAUCGAUCCUUUCCGCAACAAAUUGGUAUCAGAGCGUAGUUGAAGGAGUGAUAAUAUUUUCUGAAUUGCCCUGUGACUGCAGCUUUGUCUGAUCUUUCACAUCAGGAAGAAAAUAUUAUCAUUCAUUCAAAGGUUCCAAAUUAUGGCUACAAGUGUUUCAUCGACUAAGUAUGAUGUCGAGAAAUUUACCGGGAAAAAUAGUUUCAGUUUAUGGCGCAUCAAGAUGCGGGCAGUGCUGGUUCAACAAGGAUUGCUAAAAGCAUUGUCUGGUAAAGAUAAAUUACCAAGCACGCUUUCGGAAGAGCAAAAGGAUGACAUGCUAGAAAGAGCACAUAGUGCUAUUCUGCUAUGUCUAGGAGAUGAAGUGCUACGAGAAGUAGCGGAUGAGAAAACCGCGUCCGGUUUGUGGCUCCGGUUAGAGAGCAAGUACAUGACGAAGUCAUUGACGAACCGGCUCUACCUCAAGCAAAGACUCUAUGCCCUGAAGAUGGAGGAAGGUACACCUGUUUCCCAGCACCUGGAUAAAUUCAAUUCCAUUAUCAUGGAUUUGAAUAAUAUCGAUAACAAAAUCGAUGAUGAGGACCAAGCAAUAAUUGUUUUGUGUUCUUUGCCUCCCUCGUAUGAGAAUUUUGUUGAUACAAUGAUGUACGGUCGUGAUGACCUGACUCUAGAGGAGGUGAAAAAUGCCUUAAGUUCCAGUGAGUUGAGGAAGAAAAUCACUGGUAAGGUGGUCGAAAACAAUGAAGGCGAAGGCUUGGUUGCUCGAGGAAGAUCCAAGGCAAAGGGUGGAAGUUCAAGUAAAAGCCAUCCUAGAUCGCAGUCCAAGAAGAGAAUACAGUGCUACUACUGUAAGAAGUACGGGCACAUGAAGGUAGAUUGUCCGAAAAGGAAGGAGAAAUCAGAAUCACAGGAGCAACAAAAUGAUCGUGCGAAUGUAGCUGAUGCAGAUUCUUCAAGUGAUGCCGAGAUCGUUCUUGCAGUAUCCGACUCUUACGCUGGUGGGAGAUGGAUUCUUGAUACGGGAGCUACAUUUCAUAUAAGUACUUCGAAAGAUGCAUUCUCAACAUACGAGAAGCAUUCUGGUUCAGUACUAAUGGGAAAUGACCACGCAUGUCAAGUCAUGGGGAUUGGCACAGUUCGUAUAAAGAUGUUUGACGGUAUUGUUAGAACUCUAACUGAUGUUCGGCACAUUCCAGAAAUGAAGAAAAAUUUGAUCUCUUUGAGUACGUUGGACAAGAAAGGCUUUCGGUACUCUGCUGAAGGUGGAGUUCUCAAGGUAUUCUCGGGUGCUUUGACUGUGAUACGUGGUAAUUUGGAGCGGGGCCUUUACUUCCUCGAUGGUUCCUCGGUUACAGGUGUUGCGGGAGUGUCAUCAUCAGAUGAUCUAGAUUCUGACACCACGAAGUUAUGGCAUAUGCGGCUCGGGCAUAUGAGCGAGAGAGGCUUAUCGGUGCUAAGCAAACGAGGAUUAUUGUCUGGGCAGUGUACAGGAAAGUUGAAUUUCUGUGAGCACUGCGUCUUCGGUAAGCAGACUCGGGUAAAGUUCAGCACUGGGAUUCACAAGACAAAAGGCACAGUGGAUUACUUCCAUUCUGACCUUUGGGGGCCUUCUCCGACAAUUUCUAAAGGUGGUUACAGAUAUCUGCUUACCUUUAUCGAUGAUUACUCGAGAAAGGUUUGGGUGUAUUUUCUGAAGAGCAAGUAUGAGGUUCUCAUCAACUUCAAGCAAUUUAAAGCUUUGAUCGAAAAUCAAACAGGAAAGAAGAUCAAGCGAUUCCGGACGGAUAAUGGCUUGGAGUUUUGCUCAGGUGAAUUCAAUGAGUUCUGCAAAAAUGAAGGAAUAGUGAGACACCGCACUGUUCGUCGAACACCACAACAAAAUGGAGUUGCAGAACGCAUGAAUAGAACUCUCUUGGAGCGAGCUCGUUGCAUGCGAUCAAAUGCUGGGCUCGGUGAAGAAUUUUGGGCUGAAGCUGUUAAUACUGCUUGUUAUUUGGUUAACAGAUCUCCGUCAACAGCUAUUGAGCUGAAGACUCCUGAGGAAGUAUGGUCUGGUUCUCCUGCUGAUUACUCUGGUUUAAGAGUGUUUGGCUGCCCUGCGUAUGCUCAUGUAAAUGAGGGAAAACUCAAACCGAGGGCGAAGAAAUGCAUAUUUCUUGGAUACGGCCAAGGGGUGAAAGGAUACAGGUUGUGGUGUCCUGAUCCGGUUUCGUCCAAGUUCAUCAUCAGCAGAGAUGUGACUUUUGAUGAGUCAUCCAUGCUUCGAUCCACCACAAAUUCCCGGGAAAAGGAGGAGUCAGAUAGAAUGGGAGAUCACGGUGUUGAGAAGCAGGUGGAGUGUCAGGUGGACGCUCCAAUUCCUACGGAAGGUACUUCAGUCCAGGAUGAUCAAGUUGAGGUGCAAGAUUCCGAUGAAGAUGAGUCACCUCAAGAAAAACCAUAUAGCAUUGCCACUGGAAGAACGAAGAGACAAAUCAAACCAAAUCCGCGUUACGCUAAUCUGGUGUCUUUCGCGCUCAGUGUGGCGGAGUCCAUUGGUAUAGAACCUUCCAGUUAUAAUGAGGCUGUCACGUGUGAUGAGUCGGCACAGUGGGCAAUUGCUAUGAGUGAGGAGAUAGAAUCUCUUCACAAGAACCAUACUUGGGAGUUGGUUAAGCCGCCAAGUAACCAGAAGAUAGUUGGUUGCAAAUGGGUCUUCAAGAAAAAGGAAGACAUCCUAGGGGUUGAAGCAACUAGAUUCAAGGCACGAUUGGUUGCUAAAGGCUUCACUCAGAAAGAGGGGAUUGACUACAAUGAAGUUUUCUCCCCAGUCGUAAAGCAUUCUUCCAUUCGUGUAUUACUUGCCAUGGUGGCCAAGUCUGAUCUAGAACUUGAGCAGCUUGACGUAAAAACGGCGUUCUUGCAUGGUGAGCUCGAGGAAACAAUCUACAUGCGUCAACCAGAGGGUUUUACAGUUCCUGGUAAAGAAGACCAUGUCUGUCUAUUAAAGAAGUCUUUAUAUGGAUUGAAACAAUCCCCAAGGCAGUGGUACAAGCGGUUUGAUAGCUUCAUGAUUCAGCAUGGUUACACAAGAUGUGACUAUGAUGCUUGUGUCUAUCAUCGGAAGCUCUCAGAUGGUUCGCACAUUUAUUUGUUGCUGUAUGUUGAUGACAUGUUAAUUGCUUCCAAAAACAUGUCGGAAAUCAACAAGUUAAAGUCGCAGUUGAGUGGUGAGUUCGAGAUGAAGGAUCUGGGUGCUGCCAAGAAAAUUUUGGGCAUGGAUAUUCACAGAGAUCGCAAGGCGGGCAAGCUUCGUGUGUCGCAGAAGAACUACAUUGAAAAGGUUCUUCAACGCUUCGGCAUGGAUAAAGCGAAAACUGUGAGUACUCCGUUGGCACCACAUUUCAAACUCUCUGCAGAGUUGUCACCACAAUCUGAUGAAGAAAAGCAGCAAAUGUCUCACAUUCCAUACUCGAGUGCAGUUGGAAGCGUGAUGUAUGCAAUGGUUUGCACUCGUCCAGACAUUUCACAUGCAGUUAGUGUGGUCAGCAGAUACAUGAGUUGUCCUGGCAAGGAACACUGGCAGGCCGUGAAAUGGAUUCUCAGGUACUUGAGAGGUUCUGCAGAUUUAUGCUUGGUAUAUGAUCAGAGUGACUGCACUAGCAGUGUCACGGGCUAUGUGGACUCUGAUUAUGCUGGAGAUCUGGACAAAAGAAGAUCUCUGACGGGUUAUGUUUUCACUUAUUCUGGAGGAGCCAUUAGUUGGAAAGCUGUGUUACAGUCUACCGUAGCCUUAUCUACGACUGAGGCGGAAUAUAUGGCGUUAGCAGAAGCAGUGAAAGAAGCAUUGUGGAUGAAAGGUCUAGUAAGCAGUUUGGGUUUACAACAGGAUUUCACUGUUGUAUUUUGCGAUAGCCAGAGUGCCAUACAUCUGACUAAAAAUCAGAUGUUUCAUGAACGGACCAAACACAUUGAUGUCAGAUAUCAUUUUGUUCGGGAACAUGUUACGCAAGGUGACAUUGUUAUCAGCAAGGUUGCUACCGAGAAGAAUCCUGCAGAUAUGUUAACUAAGGUGAUCCCUGCAUAUAAGUUCAAGCAUUGCUUGGACUUGAUAGGUAUUCGGGAUUGAUUAGCGCCAGAGAGGCGUUUGGAAGAGGUGAUCCAGUUCGAGGAAUUCACUAUGAUGUUCAGCUUGGUAAAUUUCAAGCCAAGGUGGAGAUUUGUUAAGAAAUGGCUUAAAAUUGGUAGUGGAUUGUUGUUGUUGGUAGUGGGUUGUUGGUGGUAGUGGAUUAGUGGAUGGUUGUUGGUGUCCAUUUUCAACCACAAAUCUUUGCCAAAGUUUUGGACAAUUAUGUCCUUGAACUCUCUUAUAAAUAGAGAGGUUCAUUAGCCAUAUUCAUCAUCCCAAACCAAGAGAGAGCAAAGCUUGUUCUUUGAAAGCUAGGAUUUUAGCUUUCGGGUUUUCUAUAGGGGUUGAGAGUCGUGAGGUUCUCGGGUUGUGUCUUGAGUGUAAAACACUUGUAAUCUUCAUCUUGUUAUAGUGAAAUUUCUUUUCGCCUCUGCCCGUGGACGUAGGCAUUAAAGCCGAACCACGUAAAUCCUUGUGUUCACUUUAUUUUUCGUUUCGGUCAAUUUACUUGUAGUCAUAUCGGAGUUCUCGAAUCGAUCCUUUCCGCAACA
rnacentral:lncRNA from 1 species